ACACUGGUCCGCAAGGUAGCACCGAGUAUUACGUUACAAAAACCGAGAUCGUCGAGCUUCCAUAUAUGGCCGAACGCAAGCAAAGGGCUCCUGUAAGAGUUGAGGUGGUGAGGGACUAUGGCGAGGGUAAGCUGAUGACUAGGCCCUUAAGUCCCGGGGAAUGGCGGGAGAGUUCAAGUCCUGUUCGGUAUCAUACUGAAGAGAAAUGGAAUAAGCCUUCUAGACCCGUUCAGUAUGACGUCGAAGAGAAAUGGAAUAAGCCAUCGAGUCCUGUUCGGUAUCGUGUCGAAGAGAAAUGGAAUAAGCCCUCUAGUCCUGUUCGGUAUCGUGUCGAAGAGAAAUGGAAUAAGCCAUCUAGUCCUGUUGGUUAUGGUGUCGAAGAGAAAUGGAGUAGGCCUUCGAGUCCUGUUCGGUACCAUGUCGAAGAGAAAUGGACGAACCGGCCUUCAAGUCCGGUUAAGGAACGUCCACAACAAGUUCCGGAUUUCAUUACCAAAGUUCAAACUCAAGCUAGCCGACCAAACAAGUUCGGUCCUCUCAGCGCAACAUAUUGGCGCCAGACACCAGCCACGACCACCACAACCGUUGGUGGUCCGUGGAACAACCAGAGUCAUGGUGGGGGAUGGUCCAAAGGACACGAGGCUAACCUUAGCCAACCAACCAGCAACAUCAACACUGCCGUGGAAUACUUAAAGGAAGCUGUUAAACCACCUGCUCCCAGGUAUGAUGGAUAUCCUAACACCAUUGACAGCAGGGAAGCUGAAAGAAAAUAUGGCGGCUUGGCUGUCGGAACGCCGCCAAUCGGAAGUUAUGGCAGAACCAUUGAUAGCAGGGAAGCUGCAAGAAAAUAUCGUGGAACAGCAGUGUGAAAAAGGCAAACUAUUUGGGAUAAAUUUAAGUGUGUUUUAGGAUAUAAUAAGCUUUGGGCUUUAAUCCAAGGCUGUGUCAGUUUGUUUACACCUAAGUUUGAUGAUGAUGGAGAUGUUUCAAUGAAGUUAGUUUCUAAAGAUGGCCCCUUUUAUGUACCGCAAUAAGUUAUCAGUUCAUGAAAUAAAUUUAUAGAUCAUAUUUUUAGUUUAUCCAAUUCAACUUUAUUCUCUAACUCUUUUUAAAUAUUAGCAAAUUAAAAUUUAUUAAGUUUUAACUCAAUUUAUAUGAGUAUUGUUGUCAAUGCAGAAAUAUAUAAGUUUAAGUGUGUUAGAAACGGCCAUUAUCCUUGUAACGACUUAUUUUUAGUGGUAUCGGAAACAUAAUUUUAAGACCCCAAUUCCGAAAAAUAAGUCAGUAUUUUAUUACUUAUUUGAUAUUUAUGAAGUUUGAUGAGGCUUGUAUUAAAUUUUUGUUAAGUUAUAUUGACGUUUGGGUAAUUAAAUUAGUUAAAGGAUUAAAUUGUAAAAGUUUCAAAAAUAAGUUUUAAAAGUUAAUAGUAUUAAGUAGUUAGGAAUUAGAGAGUUGAUGGACUUAAUUGGCCAAUGUUAAAAUUAGUGGUCGGUUUUGAAGUUUGUUUUAAGUGGCUUUAUGACUAAAAUUUCAUUAAAAUAAAGUAAUAAGAAUAAGAAUAAUAAAACAUUAUGGGGCAACUAUCAUUGUAAUAAUCUGUCUUUUAGUGGUGUCGAAAAUAGUAAUUUCGGGGCCAUUAAAUUCGACGAGUAAGUUCGUAAAUAUUAUUGUUUAAUAUUUAAGAGUUAAAUGUGACUUUAAAAAGGUUUUUAAUUGAUAAUUUAUGAUAUUUAAGUGAUUUAUUGAGUUUAAGUGGUAAGACCUGAGGUCAAGUGAUUUUAAAAAAUGAGGUAUCGGGACCUUGUUUCUAUAACCGAGUUGUAAAUAUUUUUAUAAAUAUUUACGGAGUAUCAUUAAGGUAGUAUUAAAGUUUCGUUGAAAAAUUUUAACGUUUCGCUAGUUAAUUAAUUAAAAAAGACUAAAUCGUAAAAGAUGUAAAAAUUGAUCACUAUUUGAUUUGAAUGAUUAAAUAGUUAAUUGAAUAAAGGAAAAAGGACCAAAAUGGUAAUUAAACCAUGGUCAAAGUUUCCAAGCGGUGGUGUCAUGAUUUAAAUCCACUAAAUUUUGGAUUAUUUGCUCUUUUAGUCCUAAUUAGUUUAGGAUUAAAUUAUAAAUAAGUUUAUUUAGUUAGAAUUUAAUUUUUUUGAAGGAUCAAUUGUGCAAUUAAACCUUCCUUAGAUGGUAAUUAUGCCAUUUAUUUAUGUGAUGGACUAUUAUGGACGUGUGUUAGUGAUAUUAUAAGUGUAUUUACCAAGGUUAAAAUGGUAAUUUGAUAAAUUAAUUAAAAUAAAAUAAAAACCAAAAUGUUUUAUCAUCAUUUUAACGUGUCUUCUUCCCCGAAUUUGGAAGGAGAAAAACUCCAUGGAAGAUUUGAAGCUUUGGCUUUCUUGUUGAUGAUGCAUGUAAGUCCGUUUUAUCCCCGUUUUUAAUAAUUUUGUAUUUUUGAGAUCGUUGCAACUAGGUUCAGUUAACCCGUAUUUUCAAUUUUGAAACUAUUAAAGAUUGUGAAUGUUGUCAUUGAUGAAUAUAUAUGGUUUUAGUUAUUAAAUGAUGAAUUUGAGAUGUUGGUUGAUAUUUAAAAGUAUUUUUUUAAGUAAUUUUGAUGAAUUUUUCGAUUAGGGACUAAAUUGUUAAAAUAGUAAAAUUAAAAGGAUUUGAUAUGAAAAUGUUGAAAUAAUGUGCUAUAUUGGAUGCCAUGAAUAUUCAGCUAGGCUCAAUUUUGGGUAAAAAUGGUUAUUUUGCAUGUUUUGGGCUCAGGGCCUAAAUUGAAUAAAAGUACAACUUUAGGGGUGAUUUUAUAAAAAUUUCAAAAAUGGCUAAAUUGUAUAAAUUAUAUUGUUUUACUAUCUAAAUUAAUAGAUUGAAUAAAAUUAUUAAUUUAGAUCAAGAUCGAGUGGAAAGUCAAGGAGAAUAAAAAAUUACCAAAAUGCCCCUAAACUUUGUCAUUUCUGUGAUUUGGCCAGAUAAGUUCGUACAGUUAAAAAUUUAAUAUUUAUUUAAAUUGAGAAUGGUAUAACAUGAUGUAUAUAUUUAUAUAUAUUCCAUUGUUGGAAAUGAAUUAUUAUUUGAGUUAUAAUAUUGAAAUUUGAUGUUUGUUUUGAAUUGAACGUGGGAUAAAGUACAUUUGCGUUUUUGUGUAUUAUAGGGGUUUGGAGUGGUGAUGGUAUUGGAGGGAGAUAUCGACAUAUUACCCAAGUAAACUGAAGUUCAACAUUUGUUGCAAACUCUCAUUUUAUACUUUCUGUUUGGCGCGAUUCGAGUGGAUCAACUCUUUUGAGCUUCUGUUCAACUCUUUCGAGCUUCUAUUUGUGUGUUCGGGUGGACCAGCUCUAUGAGCUUCUAUUGACAAUAUACUCUUAUCCGUAAUUCGUUCUUCGAAUAAAAAAUCUCAGUAAGGUAAUCUGUUUAAUGAAGUUGAAAGAUCUGUUAUUUAUUGAAUAUUGUUCUGAACAUAAAUAAAUUCAACAAUUGAGAUUGUGGAUGAUGCUUAGGUUUAUGUUAAGCUUAUAGUUACAUUAUACCAUGUUUAAUAUUAAUGAUAUACUGUGAAAUGGUAAAUGACAAAAAUGGGAAUAUGUUUAUGUUCAUGAAAAGCUGGUAUGAUUCAAAAGGUGUAUUUUCUUAUAAAAUGGUUUAUCAUGUGAUUAAUUCCGAAUGAGUUGUAUACAUAAAUGUACUAACUUGUGUAUUAAUGAUGGUGAUUAGGCUUAUGUCAAGCUUGAGAUCAUGAUUGAUGUUUAUGCUUAUGUCUGGUAUUGUACAAAUGAAACGGGUAACAAAAGGUAAUGAAACGGUAAGUUCAUUAUUGAAAUGUGAUAUGAAAAAAAAGGGAUUGAUGAAUUGAAUGAUGUACUUAUAUAUGAGAAAUUACGUAUGUUGUAACAACCCGACUUUUGGGUCUAGUCGGAACAGUGGUUUCGGGACCACAAAUCCGACGAGAAAAAUUUUAUUUUUACGGUCUACAAUUUCACGGAAUGAUUUCGUGAAAAUUUCGUUCGAAAAUUUCGACGUUUGAGCACUCAAUUUAUUUAAAAAGUCUAAAUUGAUAUGUGAUCCCGAAAAUUAUUACAGUAAGAGAGUAGGUAUUCUUGAUAUAGUAAAAUAAGGAAAUUUCGAGGACGAAAUUUAUUUUAAGGGGGAGAGAAACGUAAUACCCCGGAAAUUUUUACAGUAAGAUAAUAUAUUUGAUAUAGUAAGGAAAUAAAGUGACAAAAAGGAGAAUUUUGAGUUAUGACAACAUUGGGAAGUAUAUUAUGACAUAUUAAUUAAAGAAAGGAUUAAAUUGCAAAAGUGAGAAAAUUUUUGUUACCUAAGAAUAAAUACUCAAAAUUUGAGGGGUUAAAGUGUAAAUAUGAAAAAUUUGAAGGACCAAUAGUGUAAAUAUUUUAAGGGUGGAAUAAUCUAGAAACUAAAGAAAAUGUAUGAAUUCGAACCAAAUUGAAUAGAUGAAGAAUUAUGAGUGACUAAAUCGUAAUUUUAUCAAAUUAAGUGAUGACUCAAGGAUGGAAUUUUAAAAGAUCUAAAGGGCAAAAUGGUUAAUUAGAAGAAAGAGAAAUCUAGAAAAUAAUGAUGAUGUUGGAGAUAUUUUAGAUUAAAUAAAUAAAUAUUAGUUUAUUAAUAUUUUAAUUUGAUUUUUAAAUGACAUUUUAUCAUUUGAUUAUUAUUUUAUUUAGUAUAUAUAUAUACAUAUGGAAGAAAAGAUGAAGAAUCAUCAUCGUUUCCCAUACAUUCCAACGUAUGAAGAGAAAAGAAAGAAAGGAACUUUCUUUUCUUUACAAUUUGGUCCUCUCACUAAAAAUUCACCAUUUUCACUUAGAAAUCAAAGAAAUUUCCAUAGCCAGCAAGAGAGAAAAUUGAUAAGGAGACCAUGGGGAGCUAUAAUGUCAAGCUAGAUUCAAGAAAUAGAGGCUGGAGGAGAGAGAAAAUCAAGUUAAAGAUUGAAAUCAAUAGAGCAAGGUAAGAACAUCAAGAUUUCAAUAUAUUUUUUAGUUUCAUAUUAUUGAAAAAGUAUGAAACUGAUGUUAAUGUAGGGUUUUAUUAUAUAAUGUUCUAUGUUCUUGAUAUGUUAGUAAAGGGCAACAAGAGGAAUUGAUAGAAAAUAUUGUAGAGAAAGGAAAUGAGGGUGUUAUAAAUUUGAUUAUCAACAUCUUGCACUAAAAAACUUUUAGACAACAGCGGUAGGUUAAUUUUGAAAAAUCACCAUAAAUUGUGAAAAUUUAAUUAGAGGAUAAAAAAAUAUGGAAUUAAAUCUUAUUGAGUCUAUUUUCUCAUAGAAGAAACGGUGUAAACAAUGGAAUUGUAAAUCAUGAGUUAUAAUAAAUUUUGUGAGAUAAGGUCAGAAUGGUAUCGGGUUCCUCUAUUCUGACUUUGGAAAAUUAUAAAAAAUUGGAUAAAAAUUAGUAUGCACUUAAAUUUAUAUUUUUAAAAUCUUGAAUGAGUUUAUUUUCAAUAGAAACAAACGGGAACAUCAUCCGAAUUCUAUACAAAGAGAUAAUUAAUUUUUAGUGAAGAGGGGUUGGAACUGUCAAACAGUGAAAUAGGGAAAACUUUAAAGAAUAAAUUGUACUUAUUGGAUAAACCAAAAAUUCUGAAAAUUUUAUGGUAAGAAUAUAUGUGAGUCUAGUUUUAGAUAAAAUUUUCAGAUCUCAAUUCAGAGUUCUGUAGCUUCAGAUAUAAUUAAUUUAGUGACUAUGACUCAAGUGAACAGCUUGUUAUGAGUAAACAAGUAAAUAGUGGUAUUAUGUAUAUAUCAAGGAUGUGGAAUGGAGUGGAGGAGGAGGAAAAAUAUAUGUGAAUAUUCAGCUAAUAUGAGUUUAUUUUAAAAUAUCUAAUUUACAUGUUUUAGGUUCAGGGACUAAAUUGAAUAAAAGUAAAAUCUUAAGGGUAAUUUUGUAAAAAUGUCAAAAAUGACCAAAUUGCAUGAAAUGAAUUGUUUUAUUAUUUAAAUUAAUAAAUUGAAUGAAAUAUUAAUUUAGAUCAAGAUUGGGUGGAAUUUAGAGGAAAAUGGAAAAUUUCCAAAAAGUCCUUGAAUUUUGGUAUUUCUGCAAUUUAGCCUCGUAAGUUCGUGUAACUUGAAUUAUAUUCUUAAAUGAUUGAAAUGUUUGUUAUUGAUGUGAAUAUGAUUUGAAUGUUAAUUGUAUGAAAAUUGAUGAAACAUUGAUAUAUUUGAUAAAAAGGGGAAGAAAUCCCAGUUGAAUGGAAGGAAAAUACGAUGGAUCUCUGAAAAAGAAUUGACGGUAAAAAGGAUCUAGCCCAGACGGGUGAUCCUAUUCUGAUAUAGCCCUUCCAAAGAAUAUGUGGAAAAUGGAUUUAGACCAGACGGGUAAUCCAAAUUAGGGUCUGAAUUUAGCCUGGACUGGUAAUAUAGAUCCAAGCUCAUUAGAGUAAUUGUCAUUGCAGGGGAUUUAGCCUGGACUGGUAAUCCCGACAAUACUCUAUGAGUUUAUAUUACAGGGGAUUUAGCCUGGACUGGUAAUCUCGCUGUAAGGAUGAGGUUCGCGGGAGUGUGCUCUCUGAAAUGGAAAUGUGCGCACAUGAAUAUGAAAUGACAGACCCAGAUUUGUACACUAAAGUGUACCCCUGAAAAUCCAUCGAAAUUUCGAGAAAUUCAACGGGAUAAAUAUGAAAAAAUAACAAGGAAAUGGAAAUCAUGGUAUUGAUGAGCUCAUCAAUCAUGGUAUAUAUAUUAUUGAUACAUGGAAAUUAUUGAACUAACUUGAAUGUUGAGUUUGUGCAUGUUAGGGGAAUAAUGCAUUGAAUGACAUUUAUAAGUUAAAUUGGCCAACGUUACCUCAUUAAUGUUUUGAUUUUGUUUGGUUUUAAAUAUGAAUGCUUGAUGAAAUGAAAUGUCUUUAAAUUAAUUUUUAAACUCCGGUAAUGCUCUAUAACCCUAUUCUGGCAAUAGAUAUGGGUUAGGGGUGUUACAUAUGUUAUGGAUGAACUUACCUAUGAUGUGAAUAAAUAUACUAAUUAGUGAGUUGAUGUUGUUAUUUAAGUUUAUGCUUAGUAAAUGGAAUGGAAAGUAAGUAAAGGAAAUAGUUCACAGUUUUAUGAAAGGGUUAAUGAUGGUGUAUAAUGUUUAUAAAAUCCUAUUAAGUUAGGAAUGAAAAAUAUAUAUGAUGUUGAUAGACUUAUUCAUUUAUGAGUUGAUGGUUAUGUAGUAAAUAAAUCUUGAGGUAUUGGUAUAUGUUUAUAUUUAAUCUAUAAAGUUCAUUGUUGAAAUGGAGCCGCUUUAUUUCAUUUGAUUACUCAUGCUUAUUUGAAAGCAUUUUUGUUUUUAGCAUCCGGAUAUAUUAUUCAUUCCAUGGAAGCUAUUGUUGGAUAUUCUCCAGAGAAAAGCCAGAAUAUGGUUUUUAUGGGCGGUUUAAGAAAGCAUGUGACCAUUACCCAAAUUGCUUUUUUAGUAGGUACACUUUCUCUUUGUGGUAUUCCACCCCUUGCUUGUUUUUGGUCCAAAGAUGAAAUUCUUAGUGACAGUUAGUUGUAUUCACCGAUUUUUUCAAUAAUAGCUUAGUCCAUUGCUGGAUUAAUAGCAUUUUAUAUGUUUCGGAUCUAUUUACUUACUUUUGAAGGAAAUUUAAACGUUCAUUUUCAAAAAUAUAGUGGCAAAAAAGUAGCUCUUUCUAUUCAAUAAAAUUAUGGGGUAAAGAAAAGCAAAAAAUAAUUAACAGCAAUUUUCUUUUAUUUCCUUUAUUAACAUUAACAAUGAAUAAGAACGAGUAGUCAUAUACAAUUGGUGGAAAAAAAAGAAGCUCUUAUUACUAUUACGAAUUUUGGCUACAAGAAGGCUUUUUCUUAUCCUCAUGAAUCAGAUAAUACUAUACUAUUUCCUAUGCUUAUAUUGCUUCUAUUUACUUUAUUUUUUGAAGCUAUAACAAUUCCUUUUAAUCAAGAAGGAAUGCAUUUGGAUAUAUUAUCAAAAUUAUUAACUCCAUUUAUAAAUCUUUUACAUCAAAAUUCAAAUGAUUUUGAGGAUUCUUAUCAAUUUUUUAAAAAUGCAACUUUUUCAAUGAGUAUAGCUUGUUUUGGGAUAUUUACAGCAUUCUUUUUAUAUAAUGUUUAAAGUUUAUACGAGCUUACUAAGCAUUCACUGCUUAUGAAGUUAUUUUCCCUUACUUUACAGAUUAUCGGAAGCUUGAUCGGGUUGGAAGCUUGUCGGAGAUCUAUCACACUAUCCAGCUAUAACAUCGAUAGAUUUUGACGUUUUGGGUCAUGGUUAUAAUGGCAUGUAUAGGUGGACUUAUGUUUAAGGUUUAGUUAAUGUUUAUGACUUGUAAUGUUGUUUUGAAGUGUAUAAUUAAUGGUAUUUUCAUACCUUGAUGGUUUGUAUACUUGUGGUACUUUGAUGCUAAAUGGUUUAUGUUUAUUUGGUCAAGUUGAUGCAAGGUUUUAUAACCAAACUUGGUAUGUGAUGAUAAGGCUUCAUUGUGAUCAUUUGAAGUAAGUUUUGGUAUGGAAAUAGGUUAGAUAUAAAUGCCAAAUGAAUGAUCAAUUAUGCAUAUGUUUUGGAUGAAUUUGAUGAAUUGUGUAUGAGGUGCCUAAAUAGCAUAUUGGUUAUAUGGAUUUAUGGCAUAUUGAAAGUGGUCUUAUUAUGCAUGUUUUGGCAUGUUUUGGUGUUUUGUUCAUAGAUACUUUUGGCUUGUAGGUUUAACGUUGAUUCGGGUGAAAGAAAUGGCUUAAAAUUGACAUAUUUCUUGUCUACACGGCUUAAGAUAUGAGCGAUUAUCUCAGCCGUGUGUGACAUACGGCCACGCGACACGGCCAUGUAUCCCUUGUAGGUUUUUAAGGUUGCAUUUCGAGUGUUACACCGCCUGGCACACGGGCGUGUGAUUUGGCCGUGUGGCACAAGUCAGUGAGUUACACGGGCAAGGACACGAGUUGGGACACGGCCGUGUGUCCCUAUUUCAAUUGUUACACGACCUGAGACACAAGCAUGUGUCUCAGCCGUGUGACCCCUGCAGUCCAAAUUUUUCUAACUUUUUCUUAAAUUUUCCAAAUGUUUUUGAUUUAGUCCCUGAUUGUUUCUAUUGUAUUUCUAUUGUCAUUUCUCAUUGCAUGUAAGUGAUCUCUUUAUUGUUUCUUAAUGAAUUUUAUGAUUUUGUGCUAGUUGAGUUGAAAUCUAUCUUAUUCGAGUGUUAAUUUGUAAAAUUAGUAAAGUUGAGAAAGUAUACUCAUAAUGUUUUUUUUAAGCUUUCUACUUGAAAGAGUUUUCCUUGGGUGCUUGAUACGGUCGUUGAAAGCACCAAAAAUAUUCUAUCCCUAAUAAAUAAUGAAAAAGAAUAGUAAAAAGGAAGUAAGGUCGAAUCCCCAGGGACUGGAUUUGCACAAUAUCUUGUUCCGUGAAAUCCGAGGCAGAAUCUUUCCCAAGAAAACCUGCGUUCCUGGAAAAAAUAAAAAAAUAACAGAAUUAAAGGUUUGGAUCUGGAAACGAAAAAUAAAAUAAAAACAGAAUCAAGAAUAUUAAACCUGCCUCAAGUUGUCUCGUUCCGCCUUGGGUUCAAUCUUCGGCUUUUAGAUGAUCUUUCCUAAACCGAAUAAGCCAGUUAUAGUGGAAGAGGACGCCUAUGACCACCAGCUCCAAGGAUUUAGACUUACGAUUUAGUAGAACCUGACUCUAGCCAGCAAUCGCUUCUGUGGGAUCGUCUUAUGCUAGAUCAAUGCUUCUCAAUGGCGAAUUCCACGCCAUGUUGUCUCUUGGGCUCGCCAACCUCUGACACAAUAAGCUAACGAACCGACUGUGUAACCUUCCCAAAACAUACAAAGCGGCCGCCUUUGCAUAUGUUGAAAAGCUUACUUCUUAAGGGGCAUGGAUGGAAGCGUCAGCCCCGUAGUGCGGAGAAACGAUGAAUACUCAGCGAGGAGGCUAAGUACGGACUCUAAGCCUCAAGAACCCUUUUUGGGGAAUAUCGACAACUUUCGGCUAGAUAGGUUUAGUGGUUCAUGGUUAUGGUAGAAAAGAAAAUAAAUAUAAUAAAAAUGGAGAUUUUAUUGAAAGGAAAUAUGAAAAGAACAAAAGCCUAGACUUUUGGGGAGAAUGUUUACAGAAAAAAAAAUGGAUCUUUUUUGAGUUACUUCACCCCCUAUUUAUAGUGUUAGGGGAGAUAGUCUAAUCCUACUUAAACUCCCAAAAGAUAAAUACAUUUAAUUGAAAAUAAAUAAAGAUAAAUAAAAUAAAAUCCUAAAAUUAGAUAAUCCUUAAUAAUUAUUUUAAUAUUAAUUAUCCUAAUAUAAUUAAAUAGAGUUUGAUAGAAUAAAAUCUCUUCUUUUUGCAUUUCAACCCUUGUGUCCUCCAUGCUUGCACUUUUGGCACUAACUUUUUUUUGUGUCGCACAUUGGCCCAUUUUAUCUCUAAAUUCACACUUUUGGCCCUUAAUUUUGCUUUUGCCUCAAAUUUAGUCCCUAUGAGAUAAAAGAUCAUAAAUAGCUCAAAUUAGUAGGAUCAUCUCAGAAUAAAUACAUAAUUAAUACAUAAAAAUACGUUAUUAUAGAGUGUUAUCAGUGCUUGAUGUUGAUUUUGUGUUAUCUUAUAAAGUAAAAUUUUAGAAAUUUAGAAAUUUGGGAUUUAAUUGAGUAGUUUGUAAUAUGAGAAGGAUUUGUUAUAAAUUUAAGGACAUGUAGGUUGUAUAAUAAGGGUAAGUAUUCGGCAAUGUUGAGUUAUGUAUUAAUUGUGGAAUUGACUUGUUUAAUUCUAUGGAUUAAAUUGUAUGGAGUGUAAAUAUUUAGGGGCAAAUGAGAAAAAUUGAAUAUAAGGAAUUAUGUGUAUUGAAUUGAAUUAAUAUAUGAGAUUAAAUUAAUUUUUGAUGUUGGGGAUUGAGUUGAGUAUUGACCAAUUAAUAGGAAUUAAAUGUGGAGAUAUGACUUUAUGAUAGAUUGUCUAAAUUGAAUUAUUGUAGUUUUGAAUUAGUAAAUUGAAUUAGAUUAUCAUUUUUAGGUCAAGAAAUGAGCAAAGUCGUUGCUAACUGGGGGAAGGAGAAAGUUGUUGAUUAAUCCAUCUCGUUCACUAGAAACUACUGUAAAUUCGGCAAGUUCGUAGUCCUUAAACUCGAACUUUAUUUAGUUAAUUAGUUUGAUUAUUAGUUAAAUUGAUAGUCAAUUAUGUGCAUUCAAAAUGAUUAAUAUUAUAAAUGAAAUGCUAUGGAAAUAUAUAAAUGAAAAUGGUUAUGAAGUGGAUUAUAGAGUUCUAAUAUAGAAGCGUAAUGUAAAGAAUUUAAAUUAUGAAUUGAAUAAUUAUGGAAUAAUGUAAUUUUGUAUGUAUUGUCGAUUAUCUGACUAGCGUUGAGUGAAACUCAUUGUUGGUACAUCCAACUAGUGCUGGGCACACGUUUAAUAUCGUCGGUUUAUCCGACUAGCGCUGGGUGCAAUUAUUUGUCGAUUUAUUCGACUAGUGCAGUGCACAACUAUUGUCGGUUAUCUGACUAGCGCUAGAUGCAAUUAUUUGUCAAUUUAUUCAACUAGUGUUGGGCGCAAAACAUUGUCAGUUUAUCCGACUAGUACAGGGUACACCUAUUGUCAGUUUAUCCAACUAGCUUGCAGAGAGCAAAACUCUAUUAUGGUUAAUCCGUCAGGCACCGAGUGCCAAUAACAGGUUGAUUAAUAUUGAAAAUGUUUUUCCGAUCCAUUGAUGAUGGUUGGUAAAGGAAAUAUGGAUUAAAUUGCUUAUGAAAUGUCCAUGCGGACUAAUGGUGCACAUAUGGUAACAACCAUUAUAUAUAUACUAGAUAUUUGAAUUGAUGGAGUAUUAAACUCAUAUGUAGUUAUUUGAGUUAAUGAAAUUAUUCAACAGUUAAUCAUUCCUUUGUGUACAGGUUAAGUACUUAUUUUGAUUCCCGACUCAGCAUCCAACAUCAAUCACAAACUUAAAGUUGGUGAUGUAUUCCUUUUUGUAUGUCUUGGCAUGUAUUUAGGAUAAUGAUAUUUUGAGUAAUAGUUUUUUGGUCUAUGGUUGAACCCAAUAUUGGUUAUUUGUUUUGAAUGUCCUAAAAGUUUUUCAGUUUUGUUUUGUCUUGAAACAAAUGCUUGUAAAUGGUUAUGAAUGAAAUAAGGAUGUUUGAUAAACUUGACUCUUUUAGGUGGGUAUAAUUGUUGAUGUGGAAUGAUAAAUGUUUUGGUAAAAUGGCAACUUGGUGUGAUUGGUUAUAUUUUUCUAUUUGGUUGAUGUUUGAUUGAGUAUGAAAGAGUGGUUAAUUUCAUAUGCUCUUUAACUUGGUUAUGAAAUGAUUAAUCUUUGUUUGUGGUGCCUUUGAAUGACAUAUUGGUUAGGUAAUAGAUGGAUGAAAUGUUGGCUUGUGUUUGAUGAUUUAAAUGUGGUGUCAAUGAGGGCACAUUGGUUGGUUUGGAAGUGUCUUUGGUGGUGUUUACAUGGAUGUUUUAUGAUUGGUUUGUUACCUAAAAUAUGUGUGAAUUAUGCCUUGUUUUGGAAGUAAAUUUUGGUAUACACAGCCCGGGACACGGGCUAUCACACGGCUGUAUGACACACACAAUCUACCCACACGGCCAUGUGUCUCAAUGUUUUUAGGUGUAGGGUACACAUGGUAUGACACGCAGCCUGUGACAUGGUCGUGUGUUCCAAAACAGUUUCAAACACGGUCUGGCACACUGCCCGUGACACGGCCGUGUGACCCAACAUCGAAUGCACACACGGGCAAGCACACGUCUUGCGACAUGACCGUGUGACCUUAUUUUGAAUAUACACAGAGCAGACACACGGGCUGGGACACGGUUGUGUGAUUGGACUUCGAAUGUCCACACGACCUGGACUGUGACACACGGCACGACCGUGUAUCCUUUUUUUUCAAAAUUUUCAACUUUUCCCAACUUUUCCAUUUUGUUUCAAAUUGACCCUUAGAAUGUUUCCAAUCUAAUUUGAGGGCAUCGUAGACUCGUUUUAAGGCCCGUAAGUGUAUGUUAGAUUAUGAGUGGAUUGUGAUUGAUUAAUUGUAAUUAUGAUUGAAUAUUUAUUUCUAUGAAAUGUUAAAUGUUUAAAAUGUUAUACCCUGUGACCCUAAUCUGGCGAUAGAAACGGGUUAAGGGUGUUACAAUCCUCCUAUUUAUAAGUUGGGGAGAGACUAUUGAUAGUUAUAGAUAUUAUGUUAAAAAGUCAGAUCUUCUGAUGGUUAAAUGCUUUUAAUAUUUAUUUUUUUAAUAAAUCACAGAUGUUCAUUUACAAACCUUGUCAUAAGCUUCCGCUCAUCACUAAGCGUUAAUCAUAAAAUCAAUCAUGCAAAUUGGUAUAUUGUAAUGGUCAUUGAGGAUAUUAUUCAUCUAAUUUUUAAAAAAAAAAUAAAUUAUAUAAAUAAUUAAUAACAUUUAGAUUGUUUAACCUAAAAUUAGAAUAAUCUUAAUGCAUGUGAAAUCACAAAUUUAAAAUAUAAAUAUUUAUUUUUAAAUAUAAUAAAUAAUAAAAUGUAUUGCUUAAAACUAAUUAAUAAUAACACAUGAAAUAUAUAUAUUACUAAAAUAAUAAAAAAAUAGAUUAAAUUAUUUAUUAUGGUGUUGUCAUUAAUCUUAAAUCGAUGUCAAGUUAUCUUGUGAUACUAACUCAAUCAAAUAAAUUAUUAAUAUAUAUAAUUGAUGAAGGUGAAAAAGUGUGCACAAUAAAAUUAAAAUGAAUAAAAGCUUUAGUUGAGUUGUAACAAAGGCAAUUAGUGGGGGUUUAUAUCCCGCUAUAUGCAUAUUUUUAUUGAUUUUUAAGUGAAAAGGCUAAAAUAUCCUUGAAUAUAUUUCUUAUUUUAAUUAUGAAAUGACACUCUUGUAACUUCUUAAUCGAGUUGGUAAUUCGGUUGAGGGUGACACUAACUCAAUCAACGUUUUUAUUAAUAAUGUAAAUAUAGAAUUAGUGAAGAUAAUAAAUUAUGCAUAUUAAAAAAUAUGUAUAAAAAAUUAAAAUAAUGCUUUAGUUGAGAGAUAAAUUUAAGAUUUUAUUAAUCUAAUAAACACGGCUUAAAUCUCACCAUAUGCAUAUUUUUCUUAAUUUUUAUUUAAAAUAAUAUGACUCAUUUUAAUUACGAAAAAUAUUUCCAUAAUUUCUCAAUCGAAUUUUUUUUAAUUUUUGCUAAAAUAAAAAAAUUAAAAAAACCUCAAAUAAUAUGGCUCGUUAUAAUUACGAAAUAAUAUUUCAUAAUUUUUAACUGAAUCAAUACCCGAUUAACUUUGAUAUCAACCCUAAUAUCUUUUUAACUACUUUAAAAUAUUUACCAGCUACAGUAUCUACAUCUAAAAGAAGUAAACCAGAAAAUACAAAAUGAUAUUACAUUUCUAUUUUUUAUAUAAUAUAAAAUUGGGAAACUAUUUUCCCCCUAAAAUCCCACGCAAGCAACACACGUGUUUCUUUUAAAAAAUUAUGAUUUCAAUUAUCAAGUAGGAAAUAAUAUAAAUACCAAAAUAACCUACCACGAAAUCCAACCGAAUUUAACUGUUGAUCCACGUCAAUUCGAAACCCAACCAAAUUUGCUCCUUUCCUUUCAUUGUAAAAUUUGCAUUUUAAAUAUAUUUUUUUUAUCAUAACGCUCUGAAAUUUUUUGAUUAGUGUGCGAAGAGAAUGCUACUUACUGUACUAGAAGCGUUACUUUCUCAAUAAACCCUGAUUUUCUUUUUUCUAUCAUUUUCCCGAGAAUUUUUCAAGCAUCAACAAGAAAGAAAUACCCAGAAAAUCUACUUAUUCAGAAGGUUAGUUGCCCUUUUAUUUCGUUUUAUUUUACAUAUUUUAGGUUUUGGACUAUACUCAGAUCAAUUUAUAUUUAAAAUUGCUUUUCAUUUACUUUGAAUUGUUAUAAUGUUUUAUUUACGAAUUUGGAUAUUUGGAUCAUUGGGUCAAGGUGCCUCUUUUAUUGCUUUUUGUGAUAGAUUGCUAGGGGUUUUGAUGAAUGAGAAAAGAGACAUCCUUGACCGUCAAAUUCAUGUUUUCUGGCGGAAUUUAUUGAGAACUUGGUGUCUGCUUGUUGGUUAGAAAGUGUAGGAAAAGGAAAGAGAAUGUGAGGUGUUUUCCAGCUUGUUGUUUCUGGAGCACUACUUCUUUGAACUGUUUUUAGCUGCCCUAUGUAGAUUUUAGGGUUCUUAUGAAUCUUAUGAUCUUUCUAUUUGAAUUCUACUGUGAGAUUGAACAAUUUAGAAUUUUGUCUGUUGGGUUUUAUUAAUUUAUGCUGGAUUUUUCAUUAUUUUUUAAGGUUAGAGAAACAUUUGACAACUUGAUGAAAUCUUGCAUUACUUUGAUAACAAGAGUCUUAGUUUCCUUAUCUUACUACUGUAUUUUUUUUUGUUUCUAAAUGUUUAAUAGAAAAGUAAUUGAUUUUUCAUUCAAUUUAGGGUUACAAAUUUCCGAAUGAUUUUAUGGAGUUCAUUUCUGUAAAUAAAUACUUUUAUGUGUAGGUAUGUUCAAGAACCAAUUGCAAGAGUUGGCUCAAAGAAGUUGCUUUAAUCUACCAUCUUAUUCGUGCAUCCGGGAAGGCCCUGAUCAUGCUCCUCGGUUUAAAGCUACUGUAAACUUUAAUGGAGAGACCUUUGAAAGCCCUAUGUUUUGCUCUACUUUGAGACAAGCGGAACACGCUGCCGCAGAAAUAGCUCUAAAUACACUUGCCAACAGAGGCCCUUCCAGAGCAUUGGCUGCAAGAGUUUUGGUAAGAAUUCAACCAAACUUUUAUCUACAUUCCGGUUCUAGUUACUUGAACACGGUUUUCCGACAGAAAUUUUCAAUAUCUAAUCAUUUUAUUGUCACACUCUUUCCUAGUCAUUGAACUCCACUAUGAUCAUUGUCAAAGACAAAAAGACAACUGUUAGUUCCUCGCACUGGAUGAUGUUUUCUAUCCAUACCAGUGUUCUUCUUGAAUCGAACUCUUCAAAUUGAUUCAUCUUUGACUGAGAUUGAUUGACCUUAUCUACCAAACAUACUCUCCUAAAGCUUUCUCAGGUUGAUUGUGAAUUAUGACUCAAGAACACUUUGUGUGCGUUGGCAUUUUUAUCUCUAUUAGUAACUUAUCAUGUUUUUAACAUCGGAAAAUGACAUCAUAUAGGGUUUUAAUUAGAAGUCGAGGUAAUCAUCUGUUGUAUCCUUGAACAUAAUGUCUUGGUAGUAUCCGUUGUUUUUAACCUCUUUUAGAUCAAAUAUCGGCGUGCUUGCACAGUAUAAUCAUCACAUUUAAAUUUUCCUUUUAAUACGAUGUUUUACGGGUUUGAUAUUUCUUUUCUGGCGACUCACUUAAAACUGUUGAGUGACCUGUGUGAAGAUUAUAGUUCUAUAUAAGCAAUGGAGAUGCUAGAAAAACUCUGGAUGUCAAGUGUUUUCCUUUUCUCUUUGAGCUCAACUCUGCAGCCAACUUAAUUUGUGUCUUUGUAUUGCUGUUUGCUACUUCAGCUUGCUCUAGUGAGUAAAAUAAAAUUAAAUAAAAAGAAUUUUGAUUUUGUGUCUAUUGUGCAGGAUGAAACCGGUGUUUAUAAGAACUUGCUUCAAGAGACUGCUCAUAGAGCAGGCUUAAAUCUUCCUGUCUACACCACUGUUCGAUCUGGACCAGGCCAUAUUCCUAGUUUUUCAUGCAUGGUUGACCUUGCUGGGAUGAGCUUUACAGGGGAUCCCGCUCGGACUAAGAAACAAGCUCAGAAGAAUGCAGCAAUGGCUGCAUGGUCAGCCCUGAGAAAGUGUAUGAUUCCUGUCAGGUUCCACUUCAUUUAGAAUUAAACAAGUGCAUUGUUUAUUCCUCUCUAAGGUUGGGUCUUUUUCGGGUUUAGUAUUGUUGUUCCAACUCUUCAUUUUUCUCGAAGUCACCAUGUCUGAGGCAUACUGGGAUAUAUGUAUGUCAUAUUACACUCCAUGAAUAUUCCAAGUACAUGGUUUAUUCCUAUCUAAGGUUGGGUCUUUUUCAGGUUUAGUAUUUUGAUUCUCCGAGGCUUCAUUUUUCUCGAAGUCACUGUGUUUGAUGCAUACCGGGAUAUAUGUAUGUCAUAUGACACUCCACAAAUAUUCCAAAUACAUGGAAAAACUUAGAAAAAGUUAAACAUAUCUGUCUUAUAUACAUACCCAUACCAGAUACUACACUAUACCCUCGCAUUUAUUUAGAUAUGUGUUUCUUUAUAUUCAUUUGCUACAAAAAUAUUUCAAUAGAAGCUUAAAAUCAUUUUACUAUUAGUAAUUCUUUGAAAACUUUGGUACUCACUUUCUACCACUUGAAGUUUUUGCUAAUCACUGAAAUAUUCCUUCAGAUGUUCCUAUAUGCAUGUUUUUCACUUAAAUAUUCUAAUAUAGUCUGGUGCCUGCAGUGUCUCAGUAUGGUUCAUCGUCGUCUUCAUCACCUUCAUUGGAGUUUAAAGGAAAACAAGAACAAGAGCAAGUUGUCAUUGCUCAUUUCCUUUCAUCGUUACGACCAUCUGAAGUGAGACCGUCUAUGCAAAACGAUUAUCGAUAUGAAAAGCACAGAUCAGUCCCUGUAUGUCGAGACCUAACCCCACCAAAUCAAAGCUUAUAUUCUGCGCACGGUGAAAGUUGGCCUUACCCUAGCUUUCCCCUUGAAAUGACCAUGCCCAUAUACCAAAUAUGGCAGCAAGAACAACUAUUGCAGUUGCAAAGCCAUCUGUUUUCGUUUCCGGUUUCUCCUGUUCCUCCACCUGCUCCUCAGUUUCUUCCUAUUUUAGACCUGGAUCGUCAUCUUCAAGCUAGAGGCCAGGAACCAAGAUUUAUGUCUCCAAGGAUUGCCAUUUCUACAACACACCCUUCUCUUUACAUCUCUAAUCAUUCAGCUUCUCAACCAACCAUGGGUAAAUCUACAGUGACCAUUCAAGAGAUACAUGAAGAGAUAAAAGAAGAAUCACCCAAAAGCCCUCCUCCACGCUUAGUUAACGAUCGGCUUGUUCCAGGUCAAACUAAUGCUGAAACAGGUAUCGGUGAAUCAAAACAGGAAGACCACAAACAGAAGAACACCGAGUUGGAAAGCAAAAGUGAUACUGGUCAUAGGAAAUCUGAUGCUGGUUCUCGGCCUGUCAACAACCGAUUACAAAAUCCACAUGCCUUUGAGUCUUCUCAUCUUCGAUCACAGUAUCCUCCAUGGACAAGUUAUUACGGAAAUUCUAGACCAGCACCAUCCUAUGCAGCGGCUCCUCCGACGAUCCGAACUGUAAGCCCGAUUUCUUCCAUGAGACCGAACAUGCAAGAGCCAACAACUCAGGUUCCUGUCCUGCCAAGAAUGAGAAUUGGAGCUCCGCCAUUUUCAACCAGGCCGAGCUUCGAGAGAACGAACCUUGGCAGUAUGCAUCACAGCUCCAUUGCACCACCUGUUAGAAUACGGUCUGUUGUACCGGUCUGUUCGGCUCCACCAUCAAGAAAAACACCAAAUUUCAACAAGGAGAGGCUAUUGCCCAACAAAGAGAAGAAAGAUACAGUAGCUGAGGAUCUAUCAACAGCAGUUUCAGAAUUUAGUAAGCUUAGCAUGUAGACGGGGAAUACACUGCUUUUGACUUUUAAAUUAAUUAUAAUAAUAUUAAUUGUAUUCGCAAUCGUGAUAAAUGUAAUAAGACGUUAAUUUAAAUCCAGAAUAUAGCAAUGCAUAGAUAAAUACCUGUAUAAAACUGAAAUUCAUAUUUUAAAAAUUUCUGCUUUCACUUGCUUAGGUUCCUUGUUUUGCUAUUAAAAACACUAUAAAAAUAUUAAAAUCUUUUAAAUAGAUAACAUCUCAGCCUUUCUUUACCUAUGUAUAUGAGAUUUGCAGAGUAGUUGGGUUGCUCAGUUAUUUAGUAAACCAAUCGAGUUGGAAUUUUGGGGACUGAUUUUAAAGUCAGCCGACUUCCAUUUAACUUGUAUGGAAGAUGGCUUUUGGAGGUCAAUGCGCACAGUGCACAACAAUUAGGCUUUGAAGGUUAAGAGGUUGAGAAAUAGAGCAAUAAAGCUCGUGCAUGCGUGAGAGGCUUUCGAGGCAAAGUUGAGAUAAUGGAAGUUCGAGAUGAUGGAAUAAGAUUUCGAUUAAAAUGAGGGAAGCAUGAGCUAACUUCUAUUUAACUUGUAUGGAAGAUGGCUUUUGGAGGUGCUGACUCCAAUAUGCACAAUACAUUCUAUGUGCAAUAAUUAGGCUUUACACGUGAAUGUUAAGAGGUUGAGAGAUAGAGCACUCGUGCAUGCAUGCGAGGCUUUUGAGGUAAAGUUGAGAUAGUGGAAGCCCGAGAUAUGGAAUAAGGCUCCUAUUGCAAUCAGAGAAACUUUUGGUUGAGAAUUGAGAUAAUGAAACAAGGCAAAAAUGAGAAAAACUAAAACUUUUAUAUAUACACCUUCAUAGCAAUUCUAGUAGAGUGAGUCUUUCCUUGAAAAUUGUUAUAUUGUUCUAACUACUAUCCCUUAAAUAUUCAAUAUCUCCAACUAAUCUAUUUUGCAAAUUCUUUACUCAAAUUCGUAUAUUGGAUAAAAAAGCCAAACAUCUCAACUGAUACACAUCGCAAACUGAAAAAGAAAAAAAAGGGUUAAUUUUUUUUAAAUGACUCUGCUGCAAAGGACUGACAUAAUUACCAAAGUGCCCUUAUGAACAAUACGUCAAUAUAAGCGCUGACUUAAAAACCCUAAACCCACCCCAUCGCUGUCUCUCUUCGUUUCUCCAUUCUCAGCAACUCAGCAGACCGAAACAGAACUUAGGUAAAAGGAAAUUAGGGUUUCUUUUUCCUUUAACGACUUUGCAUAUUUCCUCUCUCUUCAUUAGCAUGUUUCUUUGAUUUUUGCUUUUGCUAGGUUUUCGUGGUUGCUAAGUUGGAUUCUUGGUUUUGUUUACUGUAACUUUAACGCUAAUGGCCUCCUGUGAAAAACGCAGAAAUGGUUGUCUUUUAGCCUUCUUAUUUAUGCUAUGAACUGAAGAUGUAAUUUAUGAACUGGGGAUUUAAAAAUAAGUGGCUAUAUAUAUGUAUAUAUAAUGGAUUCAUUUUAAAAACUCCUAAAUGUUGAAUUUUAACUGUUUUCUUUUUUAUGGUUAUGAAUUGAAGAGGUAAUUUUAUGAAUGGGGUAUUAGGAAAGGAGUGGCUUUUCUUCAUGUUCGGGCCUUUAUUAUUAUGAUUAUUUGGUUUGAAGUUUGAUUAUGUCGUUGAUAGUAAUUUUAUGGUGAUAGUUUUUUAGGUCUGUUUUUCUUGAGGGUUGAGACAUGCUUGUGUUGUUCGAGACUCCGGCAGGCUUUGCCCUUUUCAAAGUCUUAGAUGAAGGGAAGCUGAAUAAAGUUGAGGUAAUUUUCUCAUUCAUUUAUUGUAAGAAUUAAUAGGAAGUUGCAUUUUUAAUCUAGUCAUUAACUUUAGAAAAAAGUGCAUUGAUUGAAUGAAAUCAAUCGCUUUAUGUUUUAGUUUGUAGGAUUUAAAUGUUCGAAGUCUUGAUUUUGAAGUUUGUGUUUUUGUUGUUGUAGGACUUGUCAAAGGAAUUCUUGGCUCCUGACUCUGCCAGAAAGGUUAUCACCCUCUCGGAUUUUGAUUGCAUUUGUUCUCCUUCAUUUAGUAUCAUGCCUUUUGGGUCUACGUUUGACUCUGGAGCUGAUCCAUUUUCAUUUAUAAUAUAAUUAGGUUGUGUCGUUGAAAGCCUUUUCCAAGUUUGAAAACACUGCAGAAGCUUUGGAAGCUGCAACCAAACUACUUGAAAGUGCACCCAGUAAAGGUCUGCGCAAGUUUUUGCGUGCGCAUUGUGAUGGUGAAACACUUGGAGUGGCUGAUUCAAAGCUUGGAAAUGCAAUUAAGGAAAAACUGGUCUGUUAAUACUCUUCAUAUUGCAGAUUCUAUGGUGAUGUUAUUCUGUUCCAUAAAUCUUAUUUAAGUAGAAGUAAUUACUUUUUUGCAGAAAAUUGAUUGUGUUCACAAUAAUGCUGUUAUGGAGUUGCUGAGAGGUGUGAGAACUCAGUUGACAGAACUCAUAUCUGGUCUAGGUGCUCAAGAUUUAGCUCCGAUGAGUUUGGGUCUUUCACAUAGCCUUUCUAGAUACAAGCUAAAGUUCAGUGCUGAUAAGGUACUUAUAAAUUAUAACAAUUUCUUUUGAACUUGAUUGAGCAUUAUCUCGUUUGAAUGAGGAGAGUUUUGCAGGGAAAAUGUCUGAUUGCAGGAAUAUAUAAAUAAGUGGGUUUAAGAUUUUAGUAACUUUAGUAAGGUGAAUUGUUAGUUUUCAGUGUAAGCAUUAGAUUUUUGUAGUUGUUCGAUUUGACAACAAUGAUCCUGUUGACCUCAGGUAAAAGCAAUUAAUAUUGUAAAAUUAGUUGCACAUAAUAAAGCUAAUCCUUUGGUUUGUAAUAAAUAUGGUGUUAAGAGUAAAAUGCUGAUUGUGAAUGCUCUUUAAAAAAUGAAUUGCUCUUCAUAUUUGUAGUUUCAUUUGCACAAAGCUAGGUCACUGAAACUUGGGUGUAUGUGUCUUUGGGUAUGUUCAAAAUUCUCCACAAUUUUCAUGUAUGUGGAGGGUCUUUGGAGGGUCAUAUGCCCAUUGUCACAUCCAAGUAUGUGUCAGACACUUGUACUUCAUGGAAAUGAAGAGUCAAUAAGAUAGGAAAAAAGUGCUUACUUGGGGUUGAAAUUAUCUAGGAGAAGCAUUGAUGUGCGUAGAUGCUGUGCUGAUAUAAGGUGGAUCUUGUAUGCUAUUGAAUAAUUGUCCUGUUUUAAAGAAAUUCCUGGAUGUUAAAUCACAUGAUUUCUAGAGCUUUGGUGAUGGUAUAAUAUAACUGUAUUUGUUGUAGGUUGAUACAAUGAUUGUUCAAGCCAUUGGUUUGCUUGAUGACCUUGAUAAAGAGCUCAACACAUAUGCAAUGAGGGUUCGUGAAUGGUAUGGUUGGCAUUUUCCAGAGCUUACUAAGAUCAUACAAGACAAUAUCAUGUAUGCCAAGGCAGUAAAACUAAUGGGUGACCGUGCUAAUGCUGCUAAGCUCGACUUCUCAGAGGUAUGAAUUUCGAUUCACUAAUCAGAAAACUAAUACCCCAACUUCUGUAUCAAGUGUUCUAUUAUGGUAGUACAAAGCUUAUCAGUUUGCCAACUAUCAAUUUCUUAACUCAUGGGUUUUGACAUAAAGUGCUUGAAGGAAUGUUUUCCUUAUUUUUAAAGAGUGUGUUUGCUUAAAUUUUCACAGGUAUUACCAGAAGAGGUUGAGACGGAAUUAAAGGAGGCAGCAGUUAUAUCCAUGGGGACUGAAAUUAGUGACCUUGAUCUGAUGAAUAUCAAAGAUUUAUGUGAUCAGGUUCUCAAUCUUUCUGAAUACCGAGCUCAGCUAUAUGAUUAUUUAAAGAGCAGGAUGAACACUGUUGCACCAAACUUGACUGCUCUUGUCGGUGAACUUGUUGGUGCUCGUCUCAUUGCUCAUGGUGGCAGCUUAAUAAAUCUUGCCAAACAGCCUGGUAGUACUGUUCAGAUUCUAGGUGCGGAGAAGGCUCUCUUCAGAGCUCUGAAGACAAAGCAUUCGACUCCCAAAUACGGACUCAUCUACCAUGCAUCCUUGGUUGGUCAGGCAGCACCAAAACACAAGGGGAAGAUUUCCAGGUCACUUGCCGCAAAGGCUGCAUUGGCAAUUCGUUGUGAUGCUCUUGGAGAUGACCAAGAUAACUCUAUGGGACUUGAGAACCGAGCCAAGGUAAAUUACAUACUUGCUUUGGUGACUUAUUUUUCUUUCUCCCUGCACCCGCACACUCUUCCUGAAAAAAAAAAUAGUGGAAUGUAAGGUAUUCUUUGCAUAUUAUAUUUUUGUAGCUUGAAGCAAGAUUAAGGGCUCUUGAAGGCAAAGAACUGGGACGUUCUGCCGGGUCGGCUAAAGGCAAGCCUAAGAUAGAAGUCUAUGACAAGGAUCGGAAGAAGGGAGCUGGGUUAAUAACUCCUGCUAAGGUUCGUGUAACUGAUUUGUCAUUUCUUUUUUAGGUUGUGUUUUUUUCUCCUCCUUUAGGUGGUUAAUGACACUUUUCUCGUGUACAGACAUACAAUCCUGCAGCAGAUUCUGUUCUCAGUCAAAUAACAAACACCGCUGCACUUGAUGAACAAGACACAGUCCCAAAGAAGAAGAAGAAGGUUGAGGCCGAACUUCCACAGAUAGAGAAAGCAGCUGAGGUACCUGCAAUUGAAGCUAAGAAAGAGAAGAAGAAAAAGAAGAAGAAAGCUGACAAGGAAGCAGGUUUGCCAACUAAUGAAAAUGAACCUGAAAACGAAGAACCUACGGAGAAGGAAAAGAAGAAACAUCAGACCGAGGAUGUAGAGAAUGCUGAAGUAGGAGAGAAGAAAAAGAAAAAGAGAAAGCACGAAGAACAAGAAGAUACAGAAUCUGAAGUGCAGACCAAGAAAGAGAAAAAGAAGAAGAAGAAGAAGAGUGAAGAUUGAGAAAAAUCAAAGGCCUUACGUGGUGAUCGACUGCCAGACAAAUUUUGGGUAAGAAAAUAGAAUUUAACUUAUGCUUGUAAAAUGUGGUAUUUUGUUGAGUUAAUCAUCUGGUAGUGUGUGUUCUUUAAACCCAAUUAUGAUGUAUUUUCAACUUCCUUAAGGAUGCAAUUGCAGGGGAAUAUCAAAACAAUUUUUUGUUAUCCUUUUAAUUUGAGUUUAAUAUCUUCUUGCAAUGAUAUGGAAAUGGUAACCAAGAGCCUCCAUUGGUUACUCUUGAAGGAAUGAGAUGUCUAGCUUACCACUUUUUUUUUUCUUGUGUACUGUAAAAGACACUUAUGAUGUUUGGAGUACAAAUUUCAGUAUGUUCGAUUCCUUUCUAGAUCCUUGGGCAGAAUGUGUUGUUUAGACAAACACUGCAUGCUGCAUAUUUCAUUGCUGAUAAACAAGGUGUCAGUUUUUUGACAGACGCUGGAAAUAGUAAGCACAUCAUCUGCUGCAAAAAAAAUCAGCUAAAAUAUGGGGAAUAUGUCGACUCAUUGAGUUUAAAAAAAAUGAAGUUAAGGGUAAAUAAUUGAAUAAUUGGUGGUGAAGAAAAUCUGUACAUACCCAAUCCACUGACUCUUAUUUAGUGAGUUGAGUUGAAUGUGAAAGGUACUCGAACUUGAAAUAAUUUAGAUAUGAAAAUCUUAAUUAAAAAAUUAACUAAUAAAUGACAAAUGAUUUGUAUAAAAAUUAAUCUAAAUCUAAAAUAAUUCGAUCCAAAUUAAACAAAUAUAAAAUCAACUCAAUCCACUUAAAUUACAGGUCUAGUCCUUAAUCACUUUUUCUAAUAGAAAUAAAAAUUUAAUAUGGAUAUAAAGUUUAGGACUUGCCUUAAAAGAAUAAGUCUAGUUCAUAGUUACUGCUUAAAAUAAAUUUUCUUUUUUGAAGAAAGUUAUUGCUUAAAAUAUAAAUAUUGCCACUUUCACAGUAUUUGAAAUAAUAUCUUAGGUUAUAUAAUAUGUCACAUUCAUUGCACGGACAAAGACAAAUACCUAAGAAAAAAAUAUUUAAAAUAAAAUAACAGUUUUCUCAAAAAGGAGUGUAGUUUUUAAUUGAGGGUGUUUAUGAUAAAUUGAAAAUUAUUUAUUAUUUAUAUUAUUUUAGAUAGUUUUAAAUAAAAAUAAAUAUAUUAAAUAUAUCAUUUAAAAAAUAAUUUAUUUUAAUUUUUAUUUCAAUGGUUUCUGAAAUGAUAUUUGUUUUUAAAAAAAAAUAGUUUGCCUACUUUUUUUAAAAUAUAUUAUAUAAAAAUAAAAAAAUUUAUUGAUUAAGAAAAAAUUGUUUUUUUUUUCCAAAUAUUUUAUAUAAAUCGUCUCACUUGACUCAUAAUAUUAAAGGAGACAUUUUUAUUUAUAACUUGAUGGCAAUGGUAAGGGUAUUGACAAAAGUCCACAACAACAACGAACAAAGAGAGAGUCCAAAGGGUUUUUACCAUAUAGAAAACACUUGUAAGCAGAAAUGGGAAAUCUCUGUCUUUUCUCUUUCAGAUUCAACCAAAAGUAAGUGAAGUAUCAAUUUUAUUAUGCUUUCUCUCUUACAAAACAUUGAAGUUGAACUGGACUAAAACACUUCCAAGCUCGUUUUUAAUGUCUUUUUUUUUUUUAAUCUAAGCUCUUUCUCUCUCUAAAAACUUUCUUUCUUUCUUUUUUCUACUUUUGGAUCAUUUCUGAUGUUGACUUCUGCAAAUUCCUUCUUAAAUACAUCCCAAAUUUCUUAUUUUUUUUCCAAAAGCUAAAUUCUUGCUGACUAGUUAAAGUUGGGUUUUUGUUGAUUUCAUGUAAUAGUCAACUUUUUUUAUUUUAUUUUAUUUUUGCAGAUUUAACAGCUUGAUCAUGCUUGUUAAAGUUGCUUGAUUUGUUGAAAACUGAUUAUUUGUUGAUUUAGAGCAAAACCCAGAUUCGAACAUGUUGGGAAAUGAGGUUUAGAUUUAAGAAAUGGGGUGUGUGUUGGGAAGAGAGGUAUCUUCAGGGAUUGUCUCAGAGUCUAGGGAAAGUAAAAAUGCUAGCUUUGAAUCAGUCAAGAAAGUAGAAAAUGUCACAGUUCCAAAGGUUGAUGCUAGUGUUGUAGAGGUUGAAAAUGAGGGUACCCAAAAGGAGGAAAAAGCUAAUGGGGAAAGGAAACAAAGGGGGGAAAGGAGAAGGGCAAAGCCAAACCCCAGGUCGAGUAACCUACUGAAACAUUCGCUUGGAGAGCAGGUGGCAGCCGGAUGGCCUGCGUGGCUGUCCGAUGCCUGUGGCGAAGCGCUUAAUGGUUGGAUUCCACGAAGGGCCGACACAUUUGAGAAGAUUGAUAAGGUUGGUUGCUUUGUUCUUGUUCAAUAUUUCUGCUUUUCAUGUUGAUCAUUAUUGAAUGAUAAUGCCAGAAUUGUAGUUUGUUUCGAAAUUAUAGCGGAUAUAAUUGGUUGUUUCUUUCAUUGUAGUUCCAUUCUUUGUUUAAUUUUGGCUUAGGAUGCAGCUUGGUUUUCAGUGUUGCUCUUCAUUUAUUGAUGUUUUUCGAAAUUAGUGCAUUUGAAUCAGAUACUUACAUUUCCCUACUGAUGGUAGAUUGGUUCAGGAACAUAUAGCAAUGUAUACAAAGCUAAAGAUAUGGUAACAGGUAAAAUCGUUGCUCUAAAGAAGGUUCGGUUUGAUAAUCUUGAACCUGAGAGUGUGAAAUUCAUGGCUAGAGAGAUCCUCAUAUUGCGGAGAUUGGAUCAUCCCAAUGUUGUCAAAUUAGAAGGUUUAGUUACUUCAAGGAUGUCGUGUAGUUUGUAUUUGGUGUUUCAGUACAUGGAGCAUGAUUUGGCGGGGCUUGCAGCAAGCCCUAUAGUGAAGUUUACAGAGCCACAGGUUAGCUUCAACUUGUUUCGUGAUUUAAAAUUAUUGUAAAAUCUGUGGUUUAAAAGGUAUGUCACAUUGUAGGUUAAAUGUUACAUGCAUCAACUACUCUCUGGCCUUGAGCAUUGUCAGAACCGUGGGGUGCUUCACCGUGAUAUUAAGGGGUCAAAUCUUCUUAUUGAUGAUGGAGGAGUACUUAAGAUUGCUGAUUUUGGACUGGCUACAUUCUUUGAUCCAAAUCGCAAGCAUCCCAUGACUAGUCGAGUGGUUACUUUGUGGUAUCGAGCCCCCGAGCUUCUUCUUGGGGCUACGGAUUAUGGUGUUGGUGUGGACCUUUGGAGUGCAGGAUGCAUUUUAGCUGAGCUCUUGGCUGGGAAGCCCAUUAUGCCUGGUCGAACGGAGGUAGGUUUUUGUUUUGUUUGCUGUUUAUUCGGUUUAUCAUAUUGCAAUGUUCCAUGGUUACUGCAUAGAGACUGGAGCUGACAUCUUGCAACCAAUAAAUUACAACAUCAUAUAUUGAAAUGCAUUUAUAUUCGAUCUUUGCCGGUCACUGCACGGUGAAGAUUUGAAUAAUGUGAUGUUCUAUGUAGAUUUACUAGCACUUCAUUGCUACUAACUAUAGUUCUUUUCUUGAAAAAUUAGGUAGAGCAACUACAUAAAAUAUACAAGUUAUGUGGUUCACCGUCAGAUGAAUACUGGAAAAAGUCGAAGUUGCCAAAUGCAACCUUAUUUAAGCCUCGGGAGCCAUAUAAAAGACGCAUAAAAGAGACAUUUAAAGAUUUUCCACCAUCAUCACUGCCCCUUAUCGACACUCUACUUGCAAUUGAUCCAGCGGAACGUCUAACUGCGACUGCUGCAUUAAGAAGUGAAGUAAGUUCUUUGAUUUCGAUGAACAGUCUCGAUUCUUGGCAUCUUUUCAUUUUUAUAUAUAAAGAUCAAUUUGAAGAUACCGUUCUGAAAAGUGUCUUUUCCACCAUUUUAUUCUUCUUCUGCAGUUCUUCAUGACCGAGCCUUAUGCUUGUGAACCUUCUAGCCUCCCAAAAUAUCCCCCCAGUAAAGAGAUGGAUGCAAAACGGCGAGAUGAUGAAGCACGGAGGUUAAUUCUUUUACCUUUUUUCUCUAUCGACUAUAGUCACCGGCUCUUUUACAAAACUGUGCUAACUGAUUGAGGUUGGAAAUUGUUUCAAUUUGAUGGAUUUCCAUGACCAAAAAUGAUAGUUUGUUCAGUUUUACUGUAUGCAUAUAUAUAAGAACCCCUCAAACAUGUAUGCCAUUUAUGGAAAUACAUACUUGUUCUGAAUAUAUAUAUGUGUGUGUGCGCGCGCGCACGCGCGCGUGUAUAUAUAGAGAGAGCAGUUAAUAAGCUAAUGUUGUUUGCAUGCAUAGGUAUACAGAUUCAGGGUUUUCUGGAUCUUAGUUACUUUGUUCUGAAAUGUGAAUGAUUCUUCCCUAUAGUUAGAUGAUAAAGGUUGUUAUGAUCCAAAGAACUUUGAUUUUUACUGGUCAGAUAGAUGCUCUACUAUAAAAAAUAAUGUUCUAUGAUUUUGAAUCAUUCUAUUCUUCAGUCUAUGUUUGACAUUGGUUCCAUUUUGAGUUUAACGAUGCCGUGACAUUGUGGUAAUUAGUAUUCUAGCUAUAGUUAUUUACUUCGAAAGUUUCAAUCUAAGCUAUUUUGCUAUAAUUAUUGUAUAUUUGAAAGCAUCUGACAUCCAUGUAUCUCUUUAUAUUUCAACUAUGAUUAAAGAGAAUAUGUAUGAACCCUUUCUUUUUCUGGUCUAAUGUGCAGACUCAAAGCAGCUAGUAAAGCCCCAGGUGACGGUGCAAGGAAAACACGAACACGUGAUCGUGCAAGGGCAGUGCCUGCCCCAGAAGCCAAUGCCGAGCUUCAGUCUAAUCUUGAUGUAAGUGCGACCAUUUGCUUUUGUCAUCAACCAUUAUCUUCUAUUGUUAGAAUUUGUUCCCUGCUUCCCCUAAGUAAUUGAGAAUAGAAUUUCGAAACCGGAGCUUGUUUGUUUGAGCUUUCAAGUUGUUAUAUUGGUAACAAGAAGUUAGGCACGUGCAUAAGUACUUGUUCAAAGAUAAGGUGUUCUAAAUCUCGUCUUAACUUUCCUUGUUAGAUAUAUUGUCCUAUUUCGAUUGUGAUCAAGUUUCUGGCCACCUACUGAAUAUAUUUGAUAACGCAGCUUUUGCUAGUCUGUAUUUAACACCUAAUUUAAGAGUCUAUACGAAUAUUAAGGCAUAUUAGUAUUGCUGCGACCUUUCAUUUUUCUUGAAAUAUCCGUGUCUGUUAUAUAUUCCAGACACGAGUAUGGAGAGAUGAUUCUCCAAGAACUCUUCAAAUACAUAGAAGUUUUUAAAAAAAAGAUUGCACAUGUUUGAACAUUUCCGUUACUUUUAACUAAUUUCGGUUAUAUAUUGAACAUUUCCAUUAUAUAUUCAACACUCACUCCAAAGUGCAGUCAAAUGCACUGACAUCAAGUACAUGUUUGAACAUUUCCGUUACUUUUAACUAAUUUCGGGUUUUCAAUGUGAAGCAGAGAAGGCGUUUAAUAACCCAUGCGAACGCAAAGAGCAAAAGCGAAAAGUUCCCCCCACCACACCAAGAUGGAGCACUUGGCUUUCCUUUAGGAGCAUCACAACACAUUGAUCCGUCAUUUGUUCCUCCUGAUGUCCCCUUCAGCACUACAUUAACAUAUUCGAAAGAACCAAUUCAAACUUGGUCUGGUCCGCUGGUCGAGUCUGCCAGUAAUGGUGCUCUGAGGCGAAAGAAGCAUGUUGCAGUCGAUUCGCACGAACCAUCUAAACCUCCAAAAGGAUCCCAAAAAUGAAUGAAGUGGCGAUACCUGGUUAAAGGCAAGAAGAGCACACUUUAAACUCUCAGAUUUACGAAAACCGGUUGAUAUUGCAUUCGGUGACAGUGUCCAGAACUCUUACUGCUGUAGAAGCAUGUAUUCAAGGGUUUGAAAUCAAUUUAUUUAUUUUUCUAUAUUUUCCUUUGUUCUUUUACCUUUUUUAUUCUUUUUACAAUCCUAAGUGGCUGCCUUUGAGGUUAAGUUCUCCAUUGUUAUGCAUAUUUUUAUUUCUUCAGUUCUUACAGUGUUGUGUUCUAAACUGUACACUAUUUAGAUUAAUGGAGACUAGAGAACAUCAUGGGGAAAAAAACUAAUAAAUGCUUCAAAAUUCACUUUUUGUUGAGAUUUAUGUUUAAAGACAGCACCUUUCAUGUUACAAAAAUUGUUUCAACCUGAUCGAGUAUAAAUCUUUGUGAUUUUCUUUAAACUUAUCAGAACAAAUAAUAAUAGAAAAUACUACCCACAAGUGAUUGGCUUGUUCUAAUAAAGUGGACAAUGAUGUUACAUCCAUUUUUAUUAGUACUGGGCAUGCAUGGUACAUGUUUUUAUAAUUUAUAUAAAUAUCAUAGGUUCUGCCAAUCAUAUUAAUUAUGGAUCACCUAAGAGGCUAAUCACCAUUACCUCAAUUCUCUAAUAAUAAUAAUAAUAAUAAUAACCUUUAGCUGACGGCAGUGUUGGGACUCGAGAUUAUAGAUUAGUUGGUUGGAAUAAAAAAAUUUAUGGUUGGAAUAAAAUUGAAAAAUUAAAAAAAAAAUUAUUUUUUGGAUUAAUAUGUAAAUUUGUCACUAAAUUUUAGGUAUUUGUAUUGAUAUUUGUUAUUGAACUUAUCAACAAAAAGUAAAUUCACCAUUAUACUUAGAACGUUAUAUUGAACUUUGUCCCUUUAUUUAGGUUAGAUUGAAUUUUGCCAUUAAAAUUAGUUUUGGUUGAAUUUUACUAUUUAUUUUAAUUUCACAUUAUUCGAAGAUAAAAUUUGAUAAAAAAAUUUAUUUUAUUUUAAUAUUUAACAAUAAUAAGCUAAUUAAUAUAAUAUUAGAAGUAAUAAAAAUGGUUAUUUAAAAAAACUAAUGUUGUUUUUUAUAUGUAUUUUUUAUUUUUAAAUAUUUAUUCCUUAAAUAGAAUUUCUAUGUUAAUGAUGUUCACGGAAUUAACCAAAAAUUUGACUAAGGCAAGUGCAUCUAUCAAUUAAUAGUAUAGCUACGGUGAGAGAAGAUAUCGUUCCCACAAAAACUACAAGUACUAGUAAUUACUAUCUUUCUAUUAUUUAACUAAAUAAUUCAAGUGAUUGAUUAAAAACUAAAAUUAACUAAAUUAAUUAACUAACGAACACAACAAAUAAUAAAUCAGGAAAAUAAUCGAUUAACAACCAAGAAACGAAAUAAUAGCCAGGAAAGAAUUCACAUAGAUUUCAUCUGUCACUAUCAAUCCAAAUUACGCAAUUUCUUUACUUACUAUCUUGAUCCAUAGAAAUCCCUAAAUUAUGCAAAUAUCUCUUUCGAGCAUAAGAACAGUUGACUCUAGGUUGAUUAAUUGAAAUUUCUUUCUAAUUAAAACCCCUAUUAUCGCAUUAACUCGUGAUAUGGAUUCCCUUAUUAGAUUUGACUCUAAUCCGGUAGAUUUAUCUCGUUCUACUUCUAGGAUUGCAUGUAGCUCCACUCAAUUACGCAAGAUCUAUUCUUAAACAGGGUUUAUUUAACUUCCGAUUUAAGCACAUCAAACAUGAAUCAAUAAUUUAGAAACAUCAAACCAAGAAUUAAGCACACAUAAUUAAGAACAAGAAACUAAGUAUUUAUUACGUAAAAUAAAAAUCAAACGACAAAAUCUAUCAUAGGGUUCAUCUCCCUAGGUAUUUAGAAAAUUAGUUUAUGCUUGAAAAUAAAAAAAUCCAAGAUACAGUAUAAUCGAAAGAAAUAAAGAAACUCAUAAUAAUCUUCUAAGAAAUCAACUGGAAAUCUUCAAUCUUGACAAAAAUUAAUCUGCCACAAAUCGAUGUGGCAAAUUAAAAUUUUCCAACAAACUUAAGGAGCUUUUUCUCGAGCAAAAUAGAGUUUUUAGCUUAGUUUUUUGUUAUUUUCGUAUUUUUAUAUUUUUCGGGUAAUAAGUAAAAAUCUCUCGUUUUUGUGUUUUUUUUUAACUCAAAUUGGCCGAUAGUGUGCCAUUGGGAGGUCUAACAUGUGUUUGAGCGAUAUAGGGAUGUGUCAGUAGUCGAAAACGAGCGAGAACGACAUCUAAGGCAAGGGUAUCACGAUAUCUAACCCCUAGAAUCGCGAUACCUCCGGCAGUAUAGAAGACCAAUGAGACCCUUCAGUGGUAUCGCGACAUCCUCAUUGGAUAUCGCAAUAUCCACCUCUCAAGGAAGACCCCCAAGUUUAAUAUUGCCUGAGAUAUGGCAAUAUCCUCUUCUGGGUAUCACGAUAUCACACAAGGCUCGUGUAGGGCCAAUUUUGGCAUAAAAAAGUCAUCAGAACACCCUUCAAAACAACAAAAAUUUGUUGAGGAGAGAGACACAUUUAGCUUAAUUUUAGGUUUAGUUUUCUCUAGGUUUUUUUUAGUUUUUUUCUGCACUUUUCUAGGGUUUUUACUUUUCUCUUCUUCUACCUUAGAUUAGAGUUUAUUUUUCUGUAUUUACUUAUUGUUCUUAAUUUUCUUUAUGUUAAUUAAGUUAGUUAACAUUGUAGCUAAGAUUUAUUUACAUUUCCAAUCCUUGUACCUUGCUUUCAAGACUCUUUAAGCUUUAGUUUAAUAUAUUUCAGUUUAAUUUACUCUCAAUCUGUUAAAGCUUAUUCCUUUUAUGUUUUUUGCUUUAGAUUUCUUUGUUAAAUGUAGAGGUGCUCAAGGGUCGGGCCGGGCCUAAAAAAAUUUUCAGCCCGCUUCCUAACCCGAGCCCAACCCGGCCGGGCCCAUUUUUUUUGCUUAAAACUAAUUGUUAUUAAAAUUAUAUAAAGUUAUAUUUUUUUGUAUAUAAUGAACAAAAAAAUAAAAUAAGAUUACUUAUUUUUUACAUUAGAUUAGAAUUCACUAACUAUUUAAUUAAUUAUGAGUUUAUUCUUACAGGAUUAAAACACUAGUUUUCUCGAUAAUAAACUUUAGAAAACCCCCUCUCUUCCAAGUUGGAAGUUCCAACUCUUCCUACUUCUUUGAUCUUUCAUAUUCCCUCAACUCUCAUGGAAAGAAGAAAGAAAAGAAAGUCUUCAUGUCCUUUUUUUUUAACAUCUUCAAUUCCUGCCUGCUCCAACUCAACUGUCCUGAAUUUCUCAAUCUUCAAGCUCUCUUCAGCCCGCUUUUGUGCAACCAAAGCCUCUCCAAGCUUUUUGUUCGCUUCUUCAGCUGCUUUCUGUGCUUCUUUCAGUUCAUCAAUUGCUUCCGCCUUUUCUUUCUGGAUCAAUGACAUUUGCUCCUUUGCUAUCAUUAAAUCCUCCUCGACCGAGUUCAAUUUAGCCUGCCGUUCCCAUCCCUUACCAACCCUGUGUUUACGAUUUCUAGAUAUCGAAACCAUCCAAGAUCCAACAAUGCAAAUAAAAUUCCAUUAGUUUCAUAAUCAAAAUAUUUGACACGACAUUUUUUUCUAUGUUAGUCAGAACAGUUAACCAAAAUCCAACACCAACAAAUUCCUUUUGAAUAUUCAAUUUCCUUGCAAAUUCUGAGGUACAUCGUGAAUACCAAAUGCAUAAGAUGAAAUGCAGUAAUAUUUGACACUAUUGACAAUUACACCGUACACUUACUUCAGACGCCAAAGCAGCCUUUAGUGAUCUCCGAUCAAUGGUCAACUUUGAGUUAAGAGACAAUCGCGGGGAUCGAUCAACCUAAUGGCGAGUACCUUGCAUGGGAGAGGGUGAAUCCGGCUCUGUUUUGACCAGUGCCCUGCCUAGUUUAGUAGCCACUCUUGGUGUUGCUGGUGAAACCUUGGUUGGAGUUUCAGAUAAACCGGAUCUGUUUAAACGUUCAAAGUGCCAUAUUUUGAUCAUAAUAUCAAUUUCCCAUGAUUUAAAACACACAAUACACAAAAUAAAAAAAUCAAAAGAAAAGAAACACAAAGACAAGUAGUCCAACAAAGAAAAAUAAAACCAAAGUUAGAUCUAGAAAAACAAAAUGUUAGAACAAAGCUUGAAAUUAUAGAUAAGAAAUGGAAAGAAACGAGUGUAGCUUACUUGGAUUUAGUAGCAGCCAUGUUUAUAAUGAGAAGCUUAUUUGGUUUUUUUAACAAGGAAAGACAAACAAAGAGAAGAACUUGGAUUAAAGCUGCUGCUAGCUAAAAUGCUGACAUUUUCCCAGAACAGAAUUAAAAAAUGUAAUCUAAUGAACCUUUUCUUUAGCUAUUAUAAGAUUAGAAAAAGGAGAGAAAUAAAAGAAAUAUUGGUUCUUUUUCUUGUUUUCCGGCAGUUCAAUUGUAAGAUUUAAAAAUAAAGAAAGAACAAUAAAUGGAAACAAAGUAAUAAAUAAAUAAAAGAAAUUAUAGCUUUGCUAAGUAGCAAACCAUAACUACAACUUAACACAAAGCUUGAAACUUAUGUCUUCCUUUUUUCUUUUUAAUGUUUUCUCCUCCUUUCACUUCGUUUCUCUAAGUGUGAGAGAAGGCGAGGAACUUCCAAAUAGACGGCUUAUUAUAAAUACUAUAAAAUAAGGACUAUCAAUCAAGUCUCAAUCCAAUAGAGAAAUUCAUAAUAUCAGUACAAACAAUGUCGCUAUGUAAGGCAUUGUUUUCAAGCUAACAACAGUACCAGCAAAAAAGGCAUUAGUUGUUCAUUAGUUGAUAAUACUGCGUACUUUCAUGCCUACAGGCUACUUUCAGUGCAAAAAUACAAAUGGAUUUUGUAGUCUUUCAAAAAAUCAAAGGACCAUAACCUAUAAACCUUGAAACAAAUCUGUAAACCCAUUUGUAUUCACAUCAUUGGCUAAGGCUUAUAUUUACAGUAAAGAUCAGAGAAAGAAAAAAUAAAGAAAACUAACUAAAUGUCUAAUGAGAAUUUAACCGAAUAAACUAGGGUUAACACUGUUAAUAUACCUUUGAAUUUUGAAAUAAAGAAAACUAACCUCUAAUUCUGGAAAUGGGUGGAGCCGUGGAGGACCGGAGGUGGAUCGGUUCCGGACCGGAGGUGGAUUGGUGCCGGAGGUGAAGGUUGAGAAAAAAAGGAAGGAGGGCAGUCGGGCAAGGGAUUAGGGAUUUGUGGAAGAAGGGAAACGGGAAAUGGGGGAAAUGGCUGGAGCCGUGGAGGACCGGAGGUUGAUCGGUGGUGUCGGACUAGAGGUGGAUCGGUGCCGGAGUUGAAGGUUGAGAAAAAAAUGGAGGAGGGUAGUCGGGCACAAGAGGGGAAACGGGGAAAUGGGGAAGAAAUGUUUUAAAAAAUAAAAAAUAUAUAUUAUUUUUGGGCCGGGCCGAGCCGGGCCCAGGCUAAAAAAAUUUGCCCGAGGCCCGGCCCAUUUUCUAAACGGGCUCGUUUUUUACCCAAUCCCAUAUUUUGGGCCUAUAUUUUUACCCGAACCUUUCCAUAUUUCGGGCGAGCCGUCGGGCCGGGCCGGACCUCCCGGCCCAUGAGUACCUCUAGUUAAAUUGUUUUUGUUUCAUGUUAUUUAAGUUUUCUUGCAUAAAAAUCUCAACUUUCACAUUUUUCUUAAGCUUUACUUUCAUGGCUAAUUUGUUUUCUAUUGUUAUGUUUAUUUUCUUGACUUUGAGCAUGUAUAGCUAAAUCCUUAAGGAGGUUGGUUGAUGGAGACGUGGAUAAACUAAAAUAUUUGGACAAAGGACUAAACCGUAACAAAUUUGACUAAUUUGAAUAGAACUAAGAACUUAGGUAGUGACGCCCCUGAGGGAAUAUUAAGAUAAAGUGAGACCGGAAGGUAAUCUUAUCGUGCACCCGUUUGUUAGCCCUGGAUUAACUGGCGAGAUCGGAAGAUAAACCAGACCUGAUUCGUCUAAGUCAUUAAAAUUGAGAUCGAAAGAUAAAAUGGAGCCACUUAGUAAUUUACGCAAUUUAUGUCCCUAGUCUGAGAUUUGGUGAACCACAUUGAAGUCAACCUACCCCCAUUAGUCAUUUUCUAGAUAGUCCCUCUAGUUUACAUUUCUUACAAUUUAGUCCCUAAAGUAGAAUAUUUAAUUUUCUUGUAAACUUAUCUUUUAUGAAUCGCCAUAAUAUAAAAUCGUAUUAGUAGCCACUUAGCCUCUAUCGUGUAUGUUAGUCAUUGCUCAAUCACUUCUUUCUUUGGGUUUGAUCUUUAGAAUACUUCAGUGUUUCAUUAUAACACUAUAAAUAUUACUGUAAUACCCAAUUUUAGCCCGGGCUCACAUAUGGAAACAUAAUUUUCGAGGAUAUACAAUCUUAGAUAUGAUAUGCAAUCUUAGAUAUGAUAUAUGCAAUCUUAGAUAUGAUAUAUACAAUCUUAGAAGAUAUGAUUUUGUAAUCUUAGAGAUUUAAUUUGUAGAUACCCUUUAAUCUUAGCCGUUGAUGUAAUUGAUCUGUACCGUUGGAUUUGGGGAGGCUCAGCUAUAAAUAGAGGCCUCUCCCUUCAUUGAGAAGGGAAGGAGAUCAAUAAAAAGAAAGCUAUUAUUUUUGCAACACAGAGAGUUCAAAUAGCGGGAGAUACAAAAUUUGUUAACACAGAAGGUUUUUUUUUCCAUUUGGUAUUCUUCAUUCGUAGUUUCGUUAUUUUAUUUUAUUUUUAUUUAUUUAUUCCGCUUAAAAAUACGAAGAAAAGAAAGGAGAAAAGGGAUUUUACCUUUUUUCGUCGAAAUCGUCGGAUGGUUGCCAUCUCUGUCUCGAUCGGAGUGUUGGCAUAGGCGAACGGCGACACAAAAUGGGUUAAGAAGAAACCCUAGCAGAGAGCAUUUGUUUUUAUUUUAUUUUAUUUUAUUUUCUUUCUACUGCAAAUAUUUUUUAAAACCUAAGGGCAAAACGACACCGUUCAGUUUGGGGGUGGGUCCGCGCGUCGACCCAACCCGCAGGUUGGGUUCGCGCAUUUUCACCCUAAAUGGGUAAUUUGUGCGAUUGCCCCUCGGUGUUUUCACAUUGUUCCAGAUCUAUUUUUUAAAUUUACCCGGUUCAUUUUCAAUUUAUUCACUUUAGCCUAUGUCAAUACACAGCGUUUUGGGAAGUUGGGUUAUUGCCCAUCUGGACCCCCAUGUCAUUCGCGUGUGGCAUUUUCGUCCCUCAUUUUACUUCUGAUCCCAUUUGUUGUCUGCUAAUUCGAUUUCAAUUACAAUGUGACUUUUUUUUUACUCAAUUUAUUACCUUUUAGCAUUAUUAUUUUAUUAUUACUAUUUUUGUUUUAUUCCCAUAAUUGAUACGUACAUUAAUUUUCAUUUAUCUUCUUACACGCAUAUUUAUUUUUUUAAUAUAGAGUAAUCAUUAUUUUUUAUGUAUAUAUGUAAUUAUUAUUAUAUAUAUAUAUGUACAGAUUUAUUAUAUAUAUGUAUAUGUAAAUAUAUUGUUAUAUUUUUUAAAAUGAAUAUUUGUAUAUUUAUCUAUAUACGUGUAUAUGUUUAUGUUUUUUAAAAUGCUCACAUACAUAUAUAUUUUUAAUACAUAUUUUAAAUCUAUAUAUUUUUAUAUUUUUCUUUAUUUCAUAAAUGCAUUAUAUAUUUAUAUAAAUUUUAUAAUUCAAAGUUUUAUAUGUAAAUCUUGUGCUUGUUUUUUUCUUCCUCAUAAUUUCACUAAAUAUAUUAUGUACCUUUUUUAUUCUUUAUGCGUUUUGUUUAUUUCCUUCUUUUGUUUAUCGAUAUUAUGUUUUUAUUUAUGUUUUAAAAGCAUGCUUUUAUGUUAAUUUUGUUUAUUUAUUAUUUAUAUUAUUUCUAUACAAUUGUUGUACUUGUUAUUGUGACUUUAUCACACGCAUUCAAUAUAACAUUACAUCAUCUUUUUACUUGAAUUUAAAAAUAGAACUUUUCAAAAUAGAGAUAAUACUCGUAUUUAGGAUUUUCAAGGAAAUUGAGCUCUAACGUAUUGGGUUCUGAUUUUCUUCGUUAAAUCUAACAAUCGAGUAUUUCUCUUUAAUCAAAAAAAUAAGAAUUCAUUAUUAGGAAUUCAACACGUUGUGUCCUAACGUAUUGGAUGUGACGCAUUGAUUUCUCGAAAUGAAGAUUUUUUCUAAAAAAUAAUAAAGGAAAUAUUCCAAGUUUGGGAUUUUGGAGGAAUUGUGCCCUAACGUGUUGGGUCGCGAUUUCUUAAAUCUUGAAUAAAUGGAUAUUCUUUUAAAUUUUUAUUACACGAGUAUUCUUACCUAAUUCAUUUUUGAGGAAAUUAGAAUGUCGUGCCCUAACGCAUUGGGUGUGGCAUUUUCUUUCUCUGAAAUGAUAAGGGUCUUAAUACGUAACGUUUUUAAGUUUUUGCUAAGGAUUAUAUUUUUCAAAUUUUCGACAUUAAGACAUUAAUUAAUUAACUAGGUACCAAUUUUUGGGCGUAAUGAGGGUGCUAAUCCUUCCUCAUACGUAACCGACUCCCGGACCCGUUUUUCUAAAAAUCGUAGACCAAAAUCGUUUUUAGGUGACCCAAUCACACCUCAAUAAAAGAUUGGUGGCGACUCCCAAUUUUCAUUUUUUAAAGUCGACAAUCUAAAUUUUUUUUUCAAAAAAAUGGUUUCGACAAUUACAACUGACAUGUACACUUGCAGUAAAAUCAGACUUUAAAAAUUGUUUCAUAAAUUAGUUGUUUUAACGUGCAUGCGCGCAGCCGAUCAGAAACCUACUUUAAAAUCGGCUUCAAUGGUAUUUUUCGAGUUGUUUUCUUGAAUAUUCUAUGACGACUCACUCUUAUCUUCUUAUUUUUGUCAUAUAUAUGUCUUAGAAUGCUUAUAAAUGACAAUAUUUCAAAAUUCAGUGUGAAAUCCCAUGAAUUUGACACAGUCUACCACACGUCCGUGUGGCUCCUAUAGCUUGUUACGAUUUUUUGAUUUUCACUCCUUUUGCUCCCAAGUGCUCUAUUAAACAUUAAAAUAUGAAUUUAAAGGAUUAGGAGCAUAAAAUUCACAAUUAACAACGAAUAAUCACCCAAAAACACAUUAAGAAUGAGAUUAAAACAUGUUAAUUUUAACACUUAUUAGUUAAUUUAUUAUUUUUAAUAUUCAUAUAUUAAAUUAUGAUUAAUUAUUAAAAUAAUAUAUUUGAAAGAAUUUUUCUUAUUAAAUUAUUUUCAAAUCAAAAUUAAUAUUGAGUAUUAAAAUUUAAUUAAAAAAAUUCAAUUCGAUGUUUGGCAAAUAUAAAGUAUAAUGGUAAAUUUACUCAUAUUUUCAAAAUAUUGUGGUAAAUAUCAAAGAAAAUAAAGUAUAAUGACAAAUUUCAAUAUUCACUUAUACUAUGUUAGUAAAUUUGCACUUUAUCCCUUAUUUUUCUUUUAAAAUAACAUUGUUUCAAAUUCAUAUAAAUAAAUAAGGGUAAACUAGACAAAUAGUCACUCAAUUAUAAAAAUUUUCAUUUUAGGUUCGCAAAAUAAAAUGUUUACAAUUUAAGCACCCAUGUUACAUAGUUCGGCCAUUUUGGUCACUUUCGUUAAAUUCACAAACGACAAGCUGACGUGGCAGCUAAAAAUAUGUAUAAUAACAAAUUUAGCCUAAUUUUCUUAAAUCUUUUUUAUAUAUUUUCUUGAAAAUCUUUUUUAUUUUUGAUUAAAAUAUUCUGAGCCGAUGAUCGUAGGAUAGAGUACGAUUAGCAUGCCAAUAGGUUACUUUGCUUUGUGGUACGAGAUUGAUAUGAACUGUGACGAUGAUUUUUAUAUAUCCUCUUUCACUGAAUAUACUGAGGUCUUGCAUUUGUUGCGGACUAUCAUGUUAUAUUACAAUAUUUCCUGGUGUGUUACAAGGGUAGAUGUUAACCUACGGGUUAGGCACUUAGUGCCGAGGUGCGUUAUUGGUUGGAUUGGCCCAUAUAAGCACCUGGUGUAUUCUGGAUGGUUAAUCAUGUACUCGUAUUUGUAUAUCAUUCAUCGGACAAUGUUUUAUUGAUCGUUGAAUGUUAUUGAAAUGCGAGAAAUUGAUUUGUUCUAUUAUCAUGCAUUGCUCACCUGUUGUGAGUUGUGAUUGACAGGAACUUUGUUAGUAACCUUGUUAUUUAAAUUAUUAUUUUAAUUUAGUAAGCUUUAUCGUUUAAUCGACGAACUUACUAAGCUUUAUGUAAGCUUAUUCGUGUCUUUGUCUUUCCUUUGUAGAUUGCGUUUUGUGGAGAUCGAGAGAUCAACUCAACUCGAAGAAUAACACUAUCCGAGGAUCUUUUUUGGUAGAUUUUGUAUACAUCUUGGCUUAUAUGACAUGUAAUAGUUGUUAAAGUUGAAUGUAGUUAUGUAUAAUGGUUUGUAUGGUAUUACUUGAAUUGUCUAUGCUUUGGUUGUGUUUUAUAGUUUUUGAAGCAUGCAUGUAAGGUAUUAACCUAGGCACAAGUGUUAUGGAUAUGUGAAUCAAAUGGUAAGUUUGUUAACUUAUAUGUGUGCUAAAUGUAGUCAAGUGUGGAAGCAUCGAAGCCAAGCCAAGGUAAUAAGUUGUUAGUUAAUUAAGAUGUGAAGACUUUAAUGACUUUGGAUAGUAAUUUUGUUUGAUUGUUUUGGCAUGACAUGGUGAUUCUUGGAUGCGUUUUGAGGCUUGUAAUCAUGUACUAGAAGAUGGUUUAGGUACCUAUACAAUUGGAUGAAAAAUGAGCUUGUUUUAUGUCAAUUUUGGGCAUACACGGCUUGGGGCACGGGCUGCCACACGGUCAUGUGUCGCAUACGGGUAACCCACACGAGCUUGUGCCCCUAACGUGUUAUGGUGCAGGUCAAUCCACAUGGGCACAAAGAGUUACAUGGCCUGGCGACAUGGCCGUUGACCCUAAGCCACACAGGCACAGAGUUACAUGGUCGUAUGACCUUAACUCAAGCACAGUGAGUUACAUGGUCUAAGCACACGAGUAUGUGGAGUAGCCACACAGGCGUAUAGGAUAGCCAUACGGGCGUGUGGGAUAGCCACACGACCAUGUCUGAGCUAAACGAUCUAGCUCUAUCACACGGCCUAGACACACGGCUGUGUGACCCCUAUUUUGAAAAUUACACUUUUGCCCUAAAUCUUCUAUUUUGGCUCAAAUUGGUCCCUGAUUAUUCUUAAACUAUUUUAAAGGCCUCGUAGGUUCGAUUUAAGGCCCACAAGUGUAGGUUCUACCCCGAUCUAAAUUAUUUAUAAAAUUUCAUUAAUUAAUUAGGUAACUUGAUACUAUUUGUUAUUGAUUGUUCUGAAUUGUUUGAUAAUACUCUAUAACCCUAAUCUGGUGAUAGAAACAGGUUAUGGGUGUUACAUUGUGAAAGUCGAGUUUCGGGGUUAUUUUUCUUUGUAUGGCCACGAGUGGAAGUCUAUGUAGAGGUCUCAAUGGACAGCCAUUAUGCGGUCAUGGAUCGAUAAUGGGGGAGCUAGUUGACGGCCAUUAUGCGGGCAUGAGCUCAAAAUUUUCUAAUAACCGAAAAUAUUACCUUGGACACCAGCACCGCCGUGGACGUAGGAGGACUUUUAGAUGGACAACGGCUAUUGUAGUGCAGUAAAAGUGAUGCUCAUUUCGGGGUAACAAUGGUUGUUCUUAUUAAACAACACAUUAAUAACUACAAUUGCUGCCGCACCGACCCAAGUUUGACAUCUAUUGUGUUGGAACAUCCGCUCUCCGCCUGAGAGCCCUAUUGUGUCCACCUCGAUGUCAACCUUUGGAUAAGAUUGAAAGGUUGAAGAUACCAGCUGCUUGGAAAUAAAGAAAAAAUUACGUUGAUUACACUGACAAGCCCUUUGCUUUUCCCUAUGAUUACGACCUCAACUGUAUGUAUGGUAUAUAUAAGGCAUCAUUUGCGGGUAUCUAAAAAGCUUGAACUCGUGACCACAUAACAACCGUCAACUGGCCCCCAGUUAUACUCAAACCCAUGACCGCAUCACGGCUACUGACUAGGACCUUUACUUAGGGUGAGUUUGGAUGGGCAGUGCGUUUACCUACGAUUAGUGUAAAAACAGCGGUGGCGGUGAGAUUAAAUACUAUAGUGAUACUGUAGCGUGAGACAAAAAGUAAGCUGAACGCACCGCACCGCACCAAAUCGCCCAUCCAAACCCACCCUUAGACUUCGACCUGUGACCGUAUCAAGCACUGUCACCCCAAAACCUAACUUCCAUAGGAUGGGUUUAUGAGGUAAUGAUUUUAUCCCGGCAUGACAUAUGAAAUGUAUAUGUUCUGAGAUGCGUUAUCGCAUCCCCGACCCUUCAAUUCUACCUAUAAACUUUUACAGUUUCACCCUUAAAACACUAACAAAAUUAAAAAACCCUAACCCUAACCUUAUCAAAAUUAAAAAAUAAGUAGAUGAGAGCGCGCUUUUACGCUCUCUCCAAAAAUAACUUAUUUUCCUAAUUUAAAAAAAUUGACUUAAAAGACAAAAUAAAAUACCCGACAUAUUUACCUUAUUUAGCCAGACUUUCAUUCCAAUAAAAGCUUUUUGAAAUUAAGAAAACAAAUAAAAAUACUAACAUUUUCUUUUAAAAAAGUAAAAAAAGAAGAUUAAGGAAAAAAAUAAUAAAAGGGAAUCAGCAUAUGGAGUAAGAAAUAAGUUAACAAAAACUUUUAUUUAUUUACUUUUUUUUAAAAUAUCUAAUAAAAACUUGUCUGUAAUAAAUAAAUAUCCAAUACCCAAGUAACCAAAAAGAGAAAAGAAUAGUGAAUAAAAAUAAAUUAAUUACCAAAACUUUCGCUAAAUUUUAAUAUAAAUUAAUUAAAAUAAUUUUAGAGCAUCACUGCAAAUGAUCCAGUGGAUGGAAUGCUCAAAGAUGUUAAACCUCCGCAUGACUUGUAAUAAACCUCUUUAAACAAAACCACCCAUCAACCCUCUUUCUAUUUUCUUUGAAUUAUUCAAACAACAAAGCCAGAAACUUUGAUGAAACCCCAACAUAGUCUCAUUUGAAGAGAGCAAAAAAAAAAAAAAAACCCAGAAAAGUUUUAGUUUCAUAACGGGUAAAGGUAGUGCAAAAUGGAAGAAAGUAACAGUAACAAUAGCACAGUAAACAAUGUGGCUAGAGCCAUCGUUGCAGCCCUUGAUUGGAACUCUACUCCUGAUGCUCGCAAAGCUGCCGUUUCUUACCUUGAAUCUGUAUUCUCUUUCUCUCUCUAUCCUUCUAUUUUGUUUUAUUUUUGUUUUGUAAAUUAAUUAACUUUGGCUGUUAAGAUUAACUCUUUAAAGUAUAUAUCAUUCGGUGAACUUUCCAACUUUGAAUCAGAAAAUGUCAGAAUUCGUAACUUUGAACUUUUUGAUUCAGUAGACUAGUUUUGAACUUUUAUGAAUUUGGAAAUUUUCUGGAAUUUUUUUCAGGGAGACUGUUUAGUUGUUCAAUUAAGCUAGAGGAUCGUUAUAAUUUGCUUUACGAAAUUGAUAAGUCUCUCUUACCAUUUUGACAAGAUUCGUCUGUUUCUUAUAUUAUUUCCUUUAUCUUUGUUUUUAGGGUUUAGGCUCUUUUCUGUUUGGUUUUCUUGGCAUAUUCUUGGUCUUUGCAUGUAAAUUAAUCAACUUUGGUUGUAAAAAGUUCCUAAUUGAAGUUUAUGUCAUUUGGUGAAAGUUUUGAACUUUGAUUCAGUAGACUUAUUUUGAAUUGGUGGAAAAUUUGGAAAUUUAUGAACUCUUCUUUUUGAAGGUUGAUUAGUGAUUCAAUUGAGUUAAGGUUUUAAUCUAAAGUGUCAUUGUAAUUUGCUUUUAUGAACCUUAUAGCUCUCUCUUAGCUUUGCGUUUUGACUAGAAUGUGUCUGUUCCUCCCAUUUCUUUUACUUUGCACUUUUAAAAUGGGGUUCUUUGCUGUUUAUGAUUGAUAAAUGUUCAAUGUUUAUAUUUGAUCGAACUUCGAUUCCUUCGAAUGAUUUGAACUGUUUGACAAUUGUUCCUUGUUUAGACAUUUUGACGGUUUACUAGUAAUAUUAUUAGGAUUUGAGGACAUCAGCAAGUAAGGAUGAAUAAUUAGGUAUUGUGCUGAAAUUUUUAAGCACGAUACAAAAAGCAAUCGAUUUUGUCAGGCUGCAUGGUUUCUUGCAUCUUUAAGAUAUAGUUUAAUCAGUGAAGUUUUGUUAAGUAAAACUGAACUCGAAAAAACUGGUUGGGAGAGAAGCUGUAUUAUGACAGCUAAAGGCUUCCUGUGAAAAGAGCUUAUGAAAUGAAGCUUGGGAAGCCUGUCUGUGUCCUCUGUGAAUUAGUGUCUUGCUUUUAUAUCAUGACCACAAAUACUGGCAUGUUUUAGUUUUAUAUCACUUCAGUGACUUAUCUCUCUUGAAUAUUUACAGAUUAAAGCAGGAGAUAUACGGGUUUUGGCAAACACAUCAUUCUUAUUAGUUAAAAAGGAUUGGUCUUCAGAAAUACGAUUACAUGCAUUUAAAAUGCUACAGGUUAAGCUCAUUCACCGUUAUUUCCUUUCUGUUCUUGCUGCAUCCCCACUUUGAUGAAACUGGUGCUGUCCAUGACUUAAUUUUAAAGAUUCAUUACUUGAUUUCUAUCAUGUUAUUUUUUAUUAAAUUGCAUGUCUUGAGUCGUGACUUUAAGUUCCUUAUCAUCUUAAUCUCUGUGCAGCACUUGGUUCGAUUGCGGUGGGAGGAAUUCAGUCUCUCAGAACGUAGGAACUUUUCAAACGUUGCUGUUGAGUUAAUGUCUGAAAUUGCAGAUCCUUGUGAGGAAUGGGCUUUGAAAAGUCAAACGGCUGCCCUAGUUGCUGAGGUUUUCAACACAUUACCCUGGCAACCUAGCUUUUUUCUUAUUUGCUAUCUAGGAUUAUCAUUUUUCAGUUAUGUUUCAUUUUUCAUUUUCUUUUUGGGGCUUUGUUUCAGGUAGUUAGAAGAGAAGGACUAAAUCUUUGGCAAGAGCUGUUUCCAUCGCUAGUUUCCCUAUCCAGCAAGGGCCCUGUUCAAGUAAAGCUCUUUGUAAUCUAUACGUAGUCAUGAUCUUUUUCUAUUUCUUGAAUCAUGCAUUGAAUGAUUCCUUGGAUAUUUUUUUCCCAUUUUAGGCUGAGUUGGUCUCAAUGAUGCUGAGAUGGCUUCCUGAAGAUAUUACAGUCCACAAUGAAGAUUUGGAAGGUUUUUAUCUCUCUUGAUUUGAAUUGUUUGCACCAACUGAAUAAUUUCAUUCUCUUGGCAUCCAAUAUCUCAAGAUGCUGCUUCUAUUCAAACCUUAGAAGUAGUACACUUCCUUUUCUUUCAUAACUUUCUAUUUUGAGGCGGUUAUAUGUAUAAUAUGUUUUAAGCUUCGUUUGUUUUUGUACUGCUUUUUGCUUCUCUCUGAAAUAAAUUUAUCAUUCAGGUGAUCGGCGUAGAUUACUGUUACGUGGACUUACUCAAUCUUUGCCAGAAAUUUUGCCACUACUAUACACAGUAUGCCUCUAUCUUUUGUAGAACAUACAUUGCUUCCUUUAGCGUUAUUUACGAUCCUUAACUCUUGGUACAGUUAUUGGAAAGGCAUUUCGGGGAAGCAUUGAGUGAGGUGGGUAGACAACAUCUUGACAUAGCAAAACAGCAUGCGGCUGCUGUAACAGCUACUUUAAAUGCCAUAAAUGCCUAUGCCGAAUGGGCACCUUUGUCUGAUCUUGCUAAAUUCGGCAUCAUUCAUGGGUAUGAUAUUCUUCUUUUCACUUCUCGAAAGAUAACGUUUUAAUCAUUGAUGUGAUCCCUUCCUUACACUCUCAUCUCUGUAUUUUGACAGGUGUGGUUUCCUACUUUCUUCUCCUGAUUUUCGCCUUCAUGCUUGUGAGUUUUUCAAACUAGUCUCUCCAAGGUAUGCUUUAUGGUUUACAUGGUUAAGGUACAGAUUUUCUCUCCUAGAAGACUACUGCUUGACGUUGCAAACUCUCGAUUCUGGCAUGCAGAAAGAGACCUGCUGACGACUUUGCUUCUGAAUUUGAUUCUGCAAUGAGUAGCAUCUUUCAAAUCUUGAUGAAUGUAUCUCGGGAAUUCUUGGUCAGAUCUAACUCAGCAGGUGGGGCAAUAGAUGAAAGUGACUUCGAGUUUGCAGAAUAUGUUUGUGAAAGUAUGGUAUCUUUGGGUUCCUCAAACUUGCAAUGUAUUCUCAGAGACAGCAGUACGUCCGCUCUCUACUUACAGCAGGUAAUGACUGUCAAAAGAUUGCAGCAAGUUUUUUAGAAUUACUUUGAUUUAAGUUGUAUUUCUGCAAACAAGUUUCCUAACAGGGGUGUAUUUUAGUCAUUUGUUGCUUCGACGUUUCAUCUUUCUUGAAGUACAUGAGUCUGAUGCAUAUCCAGACAUUGGUAUGGGGAUAUGAUCCCCUAUACGUGUCCAACAAUCAGACCUAGUCCAAGUAACAUAAUUUUAGUCUAUAUGCAGGAUGUGAAUCAUUUUCAUUUGCUAAUUCUUUUAGAUACUUUAGUCUAGUGAUGAGUAAUAAAAACUUAUGGCCUAAUAUUUUAUCUUUUUUCAGAUGCUUGGGUUCUUUCAACAUUUUAAGCUAGCUCUUCAUUAUCAAUCCCUGCAAUUUUGGUUGGUAUGUGAAAGUUUUUUUUGUAAAUUAUUGUGAUAAUAAAGCAUGAAUAACAAAUAACUAAGUUAAAAUAAAUGUUUUCUCUAGGCACUGAUGCGGGAUUUGAUGUCAAAGCCGAAGCUUUCAGUGCAUUCAUCUGGAGAAGGGUCAGCUGCUAGCAAUACAGACUCAAAUUCAGCUCAGGUUGACAAUGAAAAGAGAAAGAUUUUAAGUUUUCUCAAUGAUGAUAUUUGUAGUACGAUUCUGGAUAUAUCAUUCCAACGCAUGCUUAAGAAAGAAAGGCUUAUCACCGGAAAAGCCCUUUCUCUAGGGGCUUUGGAGUUGUGGAGUGAUGACUUUGAAGGAAAGGGUGAUUUCGGCCAGUACCGUUCUAGACUUGUAUGCUCUACCAUCUCAGAUGCAUUUAUAUUUUGAUCUUUGAUUUAUCUUCCUUUGAUUUGGAAAUUCAAGCAUAAACAUACAUUGUUUUUUUCAUUGCAGUUUGAGUUAAUCAAGUUUAUUGCUUCAAACAAGCCCCUUGUGGCUGGUGCUAAAGUUUCCGAAAGAAUUAUUAUGAUCAUUAAGAACCUCUUGAACUCUCCAAUGCCUGCUGAGGUUUCAUCACCAACCCUUUUCAUCUUGUUCCUUUCCAUUAUACCUAGUGUUCGGGUUUUCAGGUUAGAAGCUUCAUUGUUAUUAUCUUUACAAACUUCCAGGACUUAGCAGUGAUGGAAAGCAUGCAAGUAGCUCUGGAAAGUGUUGUUAGCUCUAUUUUUGAUGGUUCGAAUGAGUUUGCGGGGGGUAGUUCAGAAGUUCACGUUGCUUUAUGUGGAAUAUUUGAAGGUUUGCUAACAACUUGUCUGUAUUCUGUUAGAGGCUCUAUGUUUAUGAUACCCAUACCUACCAAAAAACUCUGUUUACCGUGAAUUGAAGGUUUACUUCGGGAACUUCUUUCAUUGAAUUGGACUGAGCCUGCCCUUGUGGAAGUACUUGGGCACUAUCUAGAUGCAAUGGGUCCCUUCCUGAAGUAUUUCUCGGAUGUAGUUGGUAGUGUCAUCAAUAAGCUAUUUGAGCUCCUAAAUUCACUUCCUUUUGUUGUUAAGGUUCUCUUCUUCUUCUUCCUUUUCAUCUUUUUUCCCUAAGGGCUGAGACUUGUCUUUUUUACCUUAAGUUUUGUUUGGCAGAAUCCUUCGACGAGCAGUGCACGGCAUGCAAGGUUGCAAAUUUGUACAUCAUUUAUUCGGAUAGCCAAAGCUGCUGACAAAAGUAUUCUGCCUCACAUGAAGGUAAUGCAUCUGUCAAGCAAAAUGAUAAAAUUUCCAAUUGAAGCUUUGAAGUUUCUGAAAUGCUUAGAUACUUUCAAUUUGAGGAGCGGAUACAGAUUCCCUUAUAUUUAAACAGCAUAUUCUUUCAUGCUCAUACGAAAUUAGAGCUACUUACUUGCCAAUUGCCGUGUGUAUUCUUUUGCAGUCGGAAAGCAUUGUGAAAUUCUAAAUUUGCAAUGCUUGUUUAGCUCUUAAAUUUGAGUAGAAAAUGUCCACAUUAUCCUUGAGCAAAUACUUAUUUGUAUGCUUCAUAAGGCAAUUCAUUAGAAACUGUCACAGGUUUAGAUUGUUAGCUUUUAAAACCAUCAUUUAUAUGCCUGUUUAUAAGUUUUGGGGAAACUUAUGUUUUAGUUGAACUUUAUAUUCACUCCAUGAUGUUUCUUAUGCAGGGUAUUGCUGAUACCAUGGUGUAUUUGCAAAGAGAAGGCCGUCUGCUUCGCGGUGAGCAUAAUCUUCUAGGUGAAGCAUUUCUUGUUAUAGCAUCUGCUGCAGGGUAAUUACUUGCUUAAAGUGUUUCAAUUGCCAUGUAAAGCUGGAUUUCUUUUCUUUUUCUUAUAUGACAUUUGUUGAAAUGGAGCAGGGUUCAACAGCAGCAAGAAGUUUUGGCAUGGUUACUUGAACCCUUGAGCCAACAAUGGAUACAAAUAGAAUGGCAAAACAAUUACUUGUCCGAACCUCUUGGACUAGUUCGUUUAUGCUCCGAGACAGCAUUUAUGUGGUCACUGUUCCACACUGUCACAUUCUUUGAGAAAGCACUCAAGAGGAGUGGAAUGAGGAAAGGCCAAAGCAGCUCAACAUCAAGUUCUACCCCACAUCCAAUGGCUUCUCAUCUGUCUUGGAUGCUUCCUCCCCUCUUAAAAGUAUGCUAUUGUAACCUAUAUUAUAUAUAUCUUAUCUAGAAGAUACUAUAGAAACAGGCUGUUACAACUCUAUUGUUCUUGUGCAGCUGCUUCGUGCUAUACAUUCCCUUUGGUCACCAUCAGUAUUCCAAGUAUUACCUGGGGAGAUUAAAGCAGCAAUGAGCAUGAGUGAUGUGGAGCGGUCUAGUCUUCUUGGCGUUGGGAACCCCAAAUUGUCAAAGGGGGCAUUAACUUUCAUAGAGGGAUCUCCAUUUGAUGUGAAUAAGGAAGGGUAUACUGAACCAAAUGAAGCUGAUAUACGGAAUUGGUUAAAGGGUAUCAGAGACAGUGGGUAAGUAUGGCAUUUGCACAUUUUCUAACAUAGGAAAAUGGUCUUCCUAAGAAACAAUGCACCGUUAAUUCUCACUAUAACGUGGAUGGCGUAUAAAUUGAAGGAUCCCUAAAUGAUAUCUUGAUUUACCCCAAAAGGAACUCCAUUUUUUGUCUGGUGUAUAUUUGGUAUAAAGUGCUUAGCUAUGUGAUUAUGAGCCGUCUAGAGUUAAACAUGGGCGCAUAUAUCAUUUUGAAAACUGAAAAAGAAAAUUUUUUGAUAGGUAAUGAAUAACUUGGUAGAUUAAAGAAAUGGCUAAAGAUCAUAUCCUACCUUUAUCGAGGAUUCAGGAAGCCUUCUCCAUUUUGUAGCUUUGUAGACGAAACUAAUAUUUUGGAAGGCAUACUUCAAUCAUCAUCCACUCAUCGAGUCUUUUUCUAAUUGGUGUUAAUGCAUCUUACACAUUCGUAGGUACAAUGUAUUGGGACUAUCUGCAACCANNNNNNNNNNNNNNNNNNNNNNNNNNNNNNNNNNNNNNNNNNNNNNNNNNNNNNNNNNNNNNNNNNNNNNNNNNNNNNNNNNNGCUUGUUCAUUCUGUUUUGAUUCCUUUGGUUAAGUGUUGUCCUCCCGACAUGUGGGGGGUAUGGCUGGAAAAGCUACUGCACCCGUUAUUUGUCCACUGUCAGCAAGCUCUGAGCUGUUCAUGGUUUGGUCUUCUGCAUGAAGGCCGGGCGAAGGUUCCCGAUAAUCAUGGUAUCCUUACUGGGUCAGACUUGAAAGUGGAAGUAAUGGAAGAGAAGUUACUCCGAGAUUUAACUCGUGAGAUAUGUUUGCUCCUUUCUACUAUAGCGUCACCUGGAUUAAACACUAGCCUUCCUGCUUUAGAACAUUCGGGGCAUGUUGGUCGCGUGGACAUGUCUUCUCUUAAAGAUUUGGAUGCAUUUGCACCAAGCUCUAUGGUUGGGUAUGAAACUAAAUUAUUUUUCCUUUUAGUCUUGACAUCCAACAUUACCUUUACAUUCACGAUAUUAUACUAUUUCGUUCUGUAAACCUAGUUUCUCAACAUUUUGGAUUUGUUUGCAGUUUCCUUUUGAAGCACAAAAGCCUGGCAAUUCCAGUACUCCAAAUAUCGUUAGAAGCAUUUACUUGGACAGACAGUGAAGCUGUGACCAAAGUUUGUUCUUUCUCUGCUUCUGUGGUUCUUCUAGCUAUACUUACGAACAAUGUCGAUCUCCGGGAAUUUGUUUCGAGAGAACUAUUUUCUGCUCUCAUCCGAGGUCUAGCCCUCGAGUCAAAUGCUUUUAUCAGCGCUGAUCUGGUUAACCUCUGUCGCGAAAUAUUCAUUUAUCUCUGUGACAGAGAUCCGGCUCCCAGACAGGUUAGUUUUUGGAACACUAAUUUCUCCAUUAAUGUUAAGUUGAUAUUACUCUCUGAUCAUACAAGUGCCUCAAAAUAUUAAUUCAAUGAUGCAUUUAUUGGACUAUCCCAGAUUUUACUUUCCCUCCCUUGUAUUACCCCAAACGAUUUACAUGCCUUUGAAGAAGCCUUGACAAAGACCGCAAGUCCGAAAGAACAAAAGCAGCAUAUGAGAAGCUUGCUUUUAUUAGCUACUGGGAACAACCUAAAAGCUCUUGCUGCUCAGAAAAAUGUAAACAUUAUUACAAAUGUUACUGGUAAAGCCCCCCACUUUCAUCUAAUUGCCUUCCAUUUUUGUUGGUGUGUGUUCCACGGACAUAUCCUUACCAGUUUACAACGCUCUCCAUUUCAGCGCGGCCACGUGGUCCAGUCAAUGCUCCAGGAAAUGGAAUCGAGGAGGGCGACAGCGUGGGCUUGGCAGCUAUACUGUGACGGAUUUUUCUGGAUUCGGUGUUUGUACAGAAAGUUUAACCCGGAAAUGAAAAAAGAAACAUCUUUGACAGACAGUUAAUACAAUGAGGUAGAUGGAAGCUUUUUUCUUUCUUUCUUUCUUUCGUUUUGCAUCUUAUGAUCUGAAAUAGAAUUUACUGGGCUGAUUCUCGCACCAUGUUUGUUAUCCUAAUAUUUAUUCCAUCUCUUUGGCUGACUAUAACAUCAAACUACUUAUAUUUUGGUGGUGGCAAUCUUUUUCGUUACUUGGACUCAGGAUGAGUGCCGGAUAAGUGGGAUAUUGAUAUUUGUUGGAUAUGAAUAUAUUCAAUUCAUUUUUAAGUUUUAUAUAUUUGAAGCAUCAUAAUCCUUGUCCUGAGUUUGAAUAUAUGUGCUAACUGGGAUUAUAAGAACCCAUGUCUCUGCCUUACUCCUUUUAUGUUGAUAUAAAUUGUAUGAGAUAUUUUGGUUUAAACAAAUAUAAACUGUCUAAACAUUAUUAAAACGUGUAAUAUUUAAUAUAAAAAUAUGUUUGAUUUAUUAUGAAAUUAAAGGAAGGAAGAAGAAAUGAAUUUUGUAAUUAAAAAAUAUAUUUUUUUAAAUUGUAUUUAAUACAUUGACGGAUUCACAAAUAAUAAGAAUAAAAUACAUGUUCAUUUUAAAAAUAAGAAUAAUAAUAAUAAUCUGUUUACAUAAUUCUGUAUUACUUUAUUUUUAAUUUAUUGGUAAAAAUUAAAGAGAUUAAAAUAUUACUAUUUCUACGCUGGCCCACCUUUACAGUUAACAUGCGAUUUCUUUUGUUUAUAAUCGUUAAUUCUUUGUGUCCAGCAAAACGGCGCCGUAUGGGCCUUCGCUAAAGAUAAGCAGAUCAAAUAAAAUUAAGAUGAAUGGACGGAGCCCAAAGCCCGAAAAGAUGAGCAAUCUACCAGUUCUCUACAAUCGCUUUCAAUAUUUAUGAGAAAAAACCUUUGGGUUAAGAUGGUAAAGUUGAAGUUUUGCGGACCUUGAUAUCUUAAGCUCAGUAAAAAGAUAUGAUAUAAUAUAUGAAUGUAUUGAAAUUAUCAUGAUAUAAUUUAUUAUUUAUUUUUCAGUCAAAUGCGAACAUAAGUUCAUCGAAGGCAGAAGGUCAGCAAAUAGUACAUGCAGUGACACGACGGCAAUGUUAAAAGAGAAAGUUAACAAAAUAAAACAUGAACAGCAGUCAUUCGAAAUGGAGGUUCAUUCAUGCUAGAUAUAUGGAUACAAAUUAUAAAAUCUUGCUCUGAAUUAGGCUCCGCCACGGCCAGUAUUUGGAUAUGAUAGUCUUAAAUGAUGUCUUCAAAAUGAGAAAGGCUACAAGGACAGAAGCUCCAAACACCCAAAGAACAAGCUUCUCUUACGACAGAGGAUUGAAUUUACAUCGAGGGCAGACUAACACUAGAACCCUUUCUCAUCACCCUUAGGCAUCUUUGCAUCAUGGGAUCUUUAACUUUACUUACGCCUAUCGAGUUCGGCUAGCCUCCUGUUGCUCUCGUCAAUCAAAAGCACAAACUCAAUCACUAAAUCAUCUUGCCACUUAAGAAUACCUUCAAGCCCAUGACUUUACAAGCCUACGACCUUGCAAACUCACACAAUAGGGACCACAUCCCUGAUAUAGACAAAAUACCUGUCUAUUUGUACAUCAUAUAUAUAUAUAUAUAUGUUAACCUAUAUGACAAUCUAUAUCUAUAUGAAAAGAUAUUAGUAGAUCGAUCGAACUCUAAAGAAUAUGAAACUAAUACAAGAAUGACACAUGAAGUCUCAAGAGAAUCGAAGAUACCUUUAAGUUAAAAAAAAAAACAUGAUCUCUCUCUCUCUCUCUCUAUCUAUUUUGCUCCCUCCUCUCAAACUCUAGCCCUCUUAAGAGCCUAAAUUCCAAUCACUUAUAAUUAUCUACAACUCUCCACCCACCAAAUAAACAGUAAUAAACCGCCACAAUCUUAACUUUGUAUCAACAUGCAUAAAUACUUGAGAAAAAGAUGUCUAAAACAUUAUUAUAGGGCACAAAGAUAUCUAAAACAUGAUAAAAAAAAAUACAAAGAUUUUGAAACUCAUGCUUUAUUUUAUGCAUUUCUCUAGUGAAAUAACAUCAUAUCUCCUUUUUUUUCUUUCUCAAAUAAACUGAAAUUGAAGAUGGAAAAUAAGCAGCCAAAACUUCUCUUUUAAUCAAAGUGACAGGAGAAAGAAAAUAAAAUAUAUAUAUAUUUUAUUAUUGAAACAUAUUAUUUAUUAUGGUUUAAGAGCAACAUAAGAUUAUAAAAGUAAUAUUCCAAGAAAAUGUAAUAUAAUAAACAUAUAUUGAUUUUCUUCAACUUAUAAUAAUAUAUAUAAUUAAAUAUAAUAAAUUAUUGACAUUGUAUCAUAAAGAGCGGAUAUGACUAAAACCUAUAAUAAGACUAUUUAAAAAAAUUAAAUAUGAGAGCUUACACCAUAAUCUCACAUUACCCUAAAAAUAUUAAAUCCACUGAAUCAAAUAGACCCAAAAUGUCAUAUUUGGCUUGAGCCUUGAAGACUACUCUCUUAAAAGAACCUUUGAAAAUAGGAGUAGCUUGAUGACUACUCGUUUUCAAGAGACAGUGAGCAGAAGGUAUAAUAAAUGGACGGACUACCAACAAAGAGUUUUAAUUCAAGCACUUUCUUUGGUGGUGAACUAAUUCAUCUUCAUUGCAGCAAUGGGAUGGGAUGGCACAGCUUUGAUUGCAAACGUCCUUUUCUUUAAUUACAAAUCACUUCAUUAUUUACCAUCUUUCAAUUGCAUAUUUAAUUCAAGAUCUUAUAAUGAUAAUACUCUUAUUUCUCAUUUAAUCUCAUUUUUCAAUUUUAGUAAUUUAUUUAAAUUUUCUUAAAUAUCAAUAAAAACUUAGGUUGCAGGGGUACUCCAUUCCAUAAAUAAAUCUAUAUAUGUCUUAAUAUGUAAAUAUAUAUAUAUAACAAAAAUAAUAAAUAUAUCAAAAUCUAAUUAUAUCGUGUUAAUCAUAUUUAAAAAUUUUAUAUUUUGUUGAUUGAGUCUUAGCUCGAUUGGCAUGAGUAUUAUUACUAAUGUAAAAGGAUGUAAAUUUGAGUGCGUUGAAACGUAUUAUCCUCCUAUUUAUGGGUUGAGAAAGGACUAUAAAUAAUUUAAACCAAUUAAAUUGAACUUUUAAUAAAUUUUAUUUUAUUUUUAUAAUUUUUAAUAAUUUAUUUAAAUAAACUAAUGAUCUGAUCGAUUUGAUAACCAAUUCGAUUACGACAACUUUACUUAAAAACUUACCCUUCUCAGGAUUGGUAUGUAGUUAGGUAACUUCCACCGCUUUGUUAUUUUUCUUUUCACUUUCAAUAUAUAAUUAUUUUUCCCUUCAUGUGAACGCAACAGUUAUGCUACAACUCACCUACCUAACUAGUGCACCUCGUUCAUUAACUUUUCUUUUUCGUUUUUUAUUUCCUUCAUUGGACAAUCAAUAUAUAGAUUGUAAUUGCAAAUGUGCCAUGGAGCCUUUAGAUGGGUGUUUACUUCUAGUACAAUGCGUUUAAAUUUAUUUUUUAUGUUACAGUAUCGUUAUAGUAUUUAAUUUUACCGUCACUAUUAUUUUUACAUUAACUAUAGGUAAACAACCCAUCCAGAGAAGCCCUAAGUCUCUUAAGUUGGUGGUUUGAGUUUCUAUGCACUUAAGCUACUUGCAUAAUAAAUAUUGUUUUACACUAAUACUUCUUGAGUUUUGCAAAUUGUAUCAUUGUAUUACCAUCAAAGGAGGUGCCUCCCUUCAUAAACUAUAGACGGUUCUCGACAAAAGUUAAGGACAAAAAAAGUUCAAACAUGAUAACAAUAUCUCUGAUUGUUGGGGAUCUAGUUGAUUGCUCAAGAAACUAAACUUAAAAGACUUAUCCUAAACAUUAAAAAAAAUAUUAUUCGUUUAAAAAUAAAUACACUAAAAUAAAUUAUUCAAAUUCAAAAAUCCAUAUGAUUAAAAGCAAGGGCGAAGUCAGAAAAUUUUGUUAGAUAGGAUCAUAAUUAAAUUAUAUAUUUUUACUAUAGUAAAAAUACAAUUUUAUCAUUUUAAUUUUUUUGUGAAAAUUACUUUAAUUUUUUAAUAACCCAUAUCUUUAUAUUUUUAAAAAAAUUAAAUUAAAUUUUUAUCAUUUUUAAAGGGACUAAAAUAUAAUUUUACCACUAUUAAUUAAAAAUUUUAUAAAUUAUAAAUCAUCCCACACUACCCCACUAUUUUCAAUCUGAAAAAGAAAAAAAUCUACCCACUACAUUACCGUUGAAAAUGCAUCAAUCAAAAGACUUUUCUAAAAACAAAAAACAAAAAUGCCGCGUAUAAAUAAUGAGUGAAUAUGAAAUUAUUGUUAUGUAAUUAAUAAUUAAUAAUGUUAAAUCAUAAUUUAAUUUUUAAAUUUAAUUUUAUACAUAUUACAUAUAUAAGAUUUGUAAGAUUUUAUCAUUCAUAUGAUUGAUUUCUUAUUUUAUGUGUGUUUCUCGAUAUAAAAAGAUAAAAGCAUUUUAUAAUAAUUUAUAUUAUUAUUAAUAUUAAAUAUUAAUAUUAAAUUAUUUUUUGAAAUAUAAUAUUAAAUUAUUUUUUUCAUUUUUUUAUAAUAUUUUAGGAUCUAGUAAUUAGUAAAUUAUGUGAUAAUAGGGGAAAAGUAUAUUUAAUAUUAAAAGAUAUGUUAAAAAAUAAUUAAAAUAAGAAAUGGGACAAAUCAGCCGCGGGCAUGUUAUCGAAAAAGUAGUUUGAACUUCUCCAGUUUGAACAGCUUUCCGUAAUCUUUGGUCAGGCUCCGCCAUUUCACACUUUUCCUCUCUUACGUGUUAUCUUGUCGGCAACGGGCAACCUUAAAAGAAUGUGACUUAUUAUUUAUUUUUAGGAGAAAAACAGCACUAAACGAUUAUAUAAAAAUUUUAAUAAAUUCGUGUAAAAAUAUUAUUAUUAGAGAUGAGAGUUCCUCAAACAAUGUUAAAAUCGAAGGAUUUCUAUUCAUGCACUUGGUCAUUCGAUCAGUAAUCGCAUUUCAAGCUCUUAGUUUAUGACGAAUUCUGAUAUUCUAAUCUCGUUUAAACAAACUAUUGAUUAUUCAUAAUUCAACCAGACUACUAUUGACAACGCCAUCUUUUAGUAGAAACUCCACUAGAAACGCAUUAUCACAUUCUAGUUGCAUGGCUCUUGCUUUAAUUCUAGUUAUUAUUUUAAUUGGUUUUUUAGAUUCUUUAUUAUUAAAUGUAAAUGAUUUACAAAAUUAUUUUAAAUAAUUAUAAAUAUGUUUAAUUGUGCUUCACUUAUUAUGAAAUGAUUAUAGAGGUAAUUAAAUUAAUUUUUUUAUAAUUGAUAUUUGAAAAGUUAAUAUUAAUCAAUAUAUAUUGAAAUUUAAAAUAUUAUUUAACAUAUUUAUUUUAUUAUCGUAUUAAAAUAAUUAAAAAAAUUAAAAACCUCUAAAUCAAAAUAUUUAAAAAGCAAAUAACUUAAAAUUGGAAACGAAAAAAUAAAAAAGCAAUUGUAUUAAUAUUAAUUUAUAUAAUGUUGCUAAAUUCAAUAAAAGAAAAAAUAAUAAUCUCCUUUCCCUUUACAUAAUUUUUUUUCUAAACUAAGAAAGAAAAGAGUUAAAAAAACUAAAAUCAACCUAAAGAAAAGAGUACCAUUUCAAAAAAAUUUCAUCUUCUCUAAUUUAUUGGAAAUUGUUUCAAUCCAUUUUUAAAAAUAAAUACAUAAAAUUUGAUAAUUAAUGGUGAGGUGAAAAGUUAGUAAAAUUUCUUAAAGACCAAAAUUAAAUUAUAAUUUUUACGAUAGCAAAAAUAUAAUUUUACAAUUUUAAUAGCUUAUAUCUUUUUAAUUUUUAAACGAUUAAAUUAAAUUUUUAUUAUUUUUAAGAGGGUUGGGACCUUAUCAAUCCCCCUAACUACACCCCUACUAAUGGUAUUAUUAUCUAUAGAGUAAACUACAUAAAUAAUCACCUAAUUAUUAAAAAUUUUAUUUUAGGUCCUAAAAUAAAAAAUUUAAAUUUAAUAUUUACGUUACACAAUUUGAUAUUUUAUUAUACAAACAUUUUUUUAGAAAAUUAAAAAAAAGCUAAUUUAGUAUUCUACUGUUAUUAUAAUACCGUUACUAGAGGACAAUAAUCGUUUAUAAUAAUCUCUCUCAACCUUUUUCAGGUUGCUAACUUAUUUUUCUUGCUUUUUCUGAAAAAAUUUCCCGUACUGUUGUAAACACGCGUAAUUUAAUUUUUGCCAUUGUUUCCUCUGUUUUCUUCACUGUCUUCAAUAUUUCCUACAAAACCCAUCUUUCAUAUUCAAUCAAGCUUCAAUCUUUUUCUCUUUGAUGCCCCAAGAACAUAACCAAUUCUCUGUUUUUUCUUCCCUUUUUUUUUUUUCAAAAACAAUUUAGUAAAACAUACACAAAUAUUCUCUCUUUUUUGCAGUUUUUUCUUUAAAAAAAACAGUUUCAAGGAUUGUUUUUGUGUUGUUUCUCUCCCAUGAUCACAAAAAUGGCUUGAUUUGCGGUUGAUCCUGCAAAUAAUCGCAUUUCGUUCUCUUUUUUAACAGAGAUUCAUUAAUCAAUAAAUAACCAUCAGUUUUAUAAAUAAAUAAAAACGUCAUAACGAAGCCUUGCUUUUCCUUGUUUUACAGCCCCCUUUAGCCUUACCUCAAGCUUCAUCCCCUUUAUAUUUCUUUGAAAUUUUUUCAUUAAAAAUCCUAACAAAAGCAUGGGUAAUUCUGGGUUUCUAGCAACAUUAUUAUUACCGACAUUCCUUUGUGUUCAUCUCUUUGGUGGGUUUGUUGAUGGUCUUGGUGUGAAUUGGGGCACAAUGGCAACCCAUAAAUUACCUCCAGAAACAGUGGUUCAGAUGUUGAAAGACAAUGGGAUUAAAAAAGUGAAGCUUUUCGAUGCAGAUUCAAAGACUAUGGAUGCUCUUUCAGGGAGUGAUCUUGAAGUAAUGGUUGCCAUUCCAAACGAUCAGCUUCUUGCUAUGAACAGCUAUGAUCGUGCUAAACAAUGGGUUAAGAAGAAUAUCACCAUAUAUAACUUCAAAGGAGGUGUUAACAUUAAGUAAGCUCAUUUUCUUUUUCAUUUUUUUUUAUCUUCUCUGAUGUUGGGUUUUUGAGGUUUUGAUUGAUCGGUGUUUAGACCAUUUUUUAAAGAUUUGGUUAAGUUGAUGAGAAAAUCUUCUUAUUGUCUUCUUUUGAGGAUUUUGAUCCAUUUAAUAAAUGCUUAAUCUGGAAUUUUUUAUAACUAGCAUUAAGGAAACUUGUUCUAAUUCUUCAUUUAGAUGAUCUUACUCGGGUUUGGGUACGGAUUCUUUUAUAUAUUUGGAGUGUGUUUAAGGUUAUAUUUGCAUAAAUGUGAUUAACACUUGGAAUAGGAAGAAGAAAGUGUCUUCACUUGUGUACUUACAUUAUUCGGAUUCGAGUGCUAGUGUUGCAUACAAGUAUUUUUAAGUUAUUUCAUAUAUUUGAAGUAUUCUUCGAAAAUGAAGCCAAUGGAUCUAUCAAUUUGUUGAACCUUUUCACUAUCUUUUCACAGGUAUGUUGCUGUUGGAAAUGAACCAUUUCUCAAGUCCUACAAUGGCUCAUUUAUAAACACUACAGUGCCUGCUCUUCAAAACAUUCAAAAUGCACUGAAUGAUGCCGGUGUUGGGGACACCAUAAAGGCUACUGUGCCCUUAAAUGCUGAUGUCUACAACUCGCCUGAAAGCAACCCUGUUCCGUCUGCUGGCCGGUUCCGGACUGAUAUCAGUGGACCUAUGACGCAAAUGGUCGAUUUCCUUGCCAAGAAUGGUGCACCUUUCACUGUAAACAUCUAUCCUUUCCUCAGUCUUUAUGGAAAUGAUGACUUCCCUUUCAAUUACGCUUUCUUCGAUGGUGGAAACCCGAUCACGGAUAAUGGGAUUAAGUACACUAACGUUUUUGAUGCCAACUUUGAUACAUUGGUUUCGGCUUUGAAAGCAGUAGGCCAUGGGGAUAUGCCCAUUAUUGUUGGGGAAGUUGGUUGGCCUACUGAUGGUGACAAGAAUGGCAAUAUGGCUAAUGCUCAGAGAUUUUACAAUGGACUCUUGCCUAGACUUGCAGCCAACACCGGGACCCCUCUCCGUCCGGGAUACAUUGAAGUUUACUUGUUUGGACUUAUCGAUGAGGAUGCCAAGAGCGUUGCACCAGGAAAUUUUGAGCGUCAUUGGGGGAUCUUUCGGUACGACGGGCAGCCUAAAUUCCCAUUAGAUCUUUCAGGCCAGAAUCAGAACCAGUUCCUCAUUGGUGCAAAGGAUGUCAAAUAUCUUCAACAGCAAUGGUGCAUGUUCAAUCCGAAUGCCAAGGACAUCGGCAAACUUACGGACAACAUAAAGUACGCUUGCACUUUCUCCGACUGCACGGCUCUCGGUUACGGGUCUUCAUGUAACAACCUGGAUGCCAACGGGAACGCAUCUUACGCAUUUAACAUGUAUUACCAGGUGCAAAAUCAGAAAGACAUGGCGUGUAACUUUCAAGGUUUGGCUAUAAUUACAACACAGAAUAUUUCACAAGGGGCUUGCAAUUUUAUCGUUCAGAUUGCUUCUUCAUCAUCUUCUUUUACUUCAGUAAGUCCCUUAAUGGUAGGAUUAGCCAUUUUUAUAGUAUUAACUUCAUAUUUACUAAUUUAACUUUGAUUAUUUAGAUAUAUAAGAUAUGUGCUAUUCUUUUGCACCUUAUUUCUCUCAGAUUCUUCUGUUUUGUAUGUUAAAAGAUGAUUUAGUUAUUUAUUUUAUCUAUAUAAAGUCAUAUAUUACUUGAAUAGUAUCUUGAUAAUUUCUACUACUUGGACCUGGAUAGAGGUGUGCAUGGGCCUAGCCGGACUCAACUAAGAUUUUAGGCUUAUUUGUUAGGUCCGGCCCGGAAAAUAGGACUAAAAUUUUACUUAAACCCGACCCGGAUAAAAAUGUUAAAAUCCAAGCUUGACCAGACUCGCCCAUAUUAAUUUUUAUUAUUUUUUAUAUAAUUUUAAAAUAUAUAUAAUGCAUAAAAAUACUAAAAACAUCAAAGUAAAUAUUUCCCAACAAAUUAAAAAUAAAUUUAAAAAAAAUAUGUAUAUUUAAAUAAUUCUAAGAUAGAUGCAACUUAACAAGCAAAUGUCUCUAAAAUAAUAGUAACAAAAUUAACAAAUGGCUUUAAAAUAAUAACAAAAUUAACAAUAAAAUAAGUUUUAUACAAUAUUUAAAUAAUAACAACAAAAUAGUAGCAACAUAAUUUUAAAAUGGUAGCAAAAUAAGGAGAAAAUAAUAAGAAAAUAAUAUUAAAAAACAAAAAAAAUAAUUUUUUUCGUCCUUUAGUGAAUUUGGGCAGGGCUCGAGGCCAAAAAUGUCUUACUCGAGGCCCGAUCUAUUUUCUAAACGAGUCUUAUUUUUUUGUCCAAACUCAUUUUUUGGGCCUAUUUUUUGCCCAAACCCUUCUACAUUUCAGGAGGGCCUUCGGGCCUAGCCGGGUGGCCCGACCCAUGAACAGGUCUAGACCUGGAUAUACAUUAAGCAUAUAGAUGAUAAGGUAUCCAAAGUUUCCCAAGACAUGACAUAACAGUUAAAAGUGCAAUUAAGACUAAGCUGAAGGGUCAAAAUUUUUAUCAUUGAAACCAAAAUGUGCUACAUAGAGAUGUUUAUGGGUUGGAUCGAGUUUAUAUAAAGUAUUUAGAUCAAUUUUCAAGUUUGGGCCUGACCUAAAAAAUGAGUUUACUUUUUUGCUCAAGCUUGUCAUCAUUUAAGAAAGGUAAACCCAAGUCCUACCCGGCCCGACCAUAUUUGAUUUUUUUAAGAUUAGUUUUUAUUUAAAAAAAUAUAAUACCCUAAAUGGACUAAGAAAAAUAUUAAAAUAAAAGUUUUCUAAGGCAUUAAAAAUAUAUUAAAAAACACAAAUAAAUAUAACAAAUAUUUUGUUGUAUUAAAUAUAAUUUUUAAAAUUUUAUAUUUUGGAUUGGGUUAUUUAGUUGGAUAAGUUCUUUUUGGGGUUUUGGGUAAUGAAUUUUAUUAUUGAGUUAUUGAUUUAAUAUAAAUAUAAACAUAUAAUUAUUAUUUAAUAUAUAUAAUUAAUAUAAUAUUUUUAUAUAACAUAAUAUAAUUGAGCCGGGCCAAAAAAUCUUGCUCGUGGCCUGACUCGUAUAAAAAACGGAUUUUAAAUUUAAUUCAAGGUCUUUUUCGGGCCUCGUAUUUAUCUAAACUUUUUUAUUUUUCGAAUAAACUUUCAGAACUGGACAAUAAUCUUCCCAUGAGCAGUUCUACCCCUACUUACUUCUUACAUGAAGGAUUUACCUAUCCAACCACCAUACACCAUGAACGAUAACAGAUUCAAAUCAGAGUAUCAUCCGAAAACAUAUCUGCCAACAAAUUAAAAGAUGAGUCGAAUUGAAACCGGAAAAAAUAAACAAAUAACAGUAGUGAAUCACUUGAGAGGGAGGGGACAGGUGUAGCUUCCUACCAUUGUUGGUUCUGUAAGGAUCGAAUAUAUAUUCUCAAAGGCUGUGUAUGUCUCAUCUCUCACCUAACUCACUCCGACAAAGAGGAACGGGUGAACAGAGGCCGAACGCAAUCACCCUCCCUGGCUCCGGCGAUCACAAUCUUGGGUUGUUUCAUACGAUAGAUGAGGUCUGGAAAGAGUUGAGGUUCAUACUGCAUUUAAACAACAUCAAAGAUUAGUCACAAUCCUGAAACCAAACAAGCAAAAUAGGCUCAUUCACCAAAUCUAUGAAUGCAUAGGACCAAACAUAUGUUUAUGUUUCUCGGCUGUUUACUAGCCAAAUGAAAAUUUACGAAGCACGGACACGGACAUGCAAUAUGGGUACAACACAAUAUAGAGAGGCGAUACGAUAACUUUUAAAAAAUAAAAACACGGAUAUGACAAUAAAAAAUAUUUUUAAUAUUUUUAUAUAUAUCUUUAAUGUUAAAAUACUUAAUGUAAAUGAAAACAUUGAUAUUUUUCAUUAAUAUAUAAUCAAUUCUUUUUCAGCCCAAUAUUUUUUAUGUUAAAAGGUACUUAUUUUUAUUUUAUUGGCUAAAAAUCUAAAAUUUUAUAUUCAGCCUAGUAUUUUAAAUUAAUUUACAAGUAGCUCAAGACAGAACAUUAACCUACCUACAAUAAUAAACAAAAAUUAAAUCCAACUCAGUAUUUUAAAUUAAUUACAAAUAGCCCAAGACAAGACCUUGGACUGCUUCAAAUUUACCUGAGGAAAAAAAAACCUUUCAUUUCCUUUCACGAAAAAACUUUCAAGGGAAAAAAAAUCUGAUACUCUACUUUCCCUUUUACGCUCAACUAUGGUUUUUUAAUCUGGGGUCUCUAUCCAUCGUCACCGUGUCCAAUUUUAGAUACUCGUGUCGGGACCGUAUCCAACCUCUUUUUUUUAUUUUACGUAUUCCGGUGUGUCUCAUACGUAUCCGACGAGUGUCCGCGUCAAACACACAUACGACACCGAUAAGAGACAGGAUGAUCCGUGUCCAUACUUCCUAAAUAAAAACUCAUUCUCAAGUUAAUUACAUAUGAUGUUUCAAUAUAAUUGGAUUGAGAACUUAGACCUCAAUCCCUUCAACUUAGCAUCCUUCAAGGGUCAAAAAAGUGAAACUAAGCAGUUCACAAAGAAAAGGCUAAUUAUCUCCUUGCUCUCUUCCAUUGUUUUCAGUCCUUUAAAUUUUUUUUUCCUUAUGACUUUUUGCGAAUUUCAAUUGGAUUAGACCUGAUUAUGGAUCAGGUUUGGGUUGAGAUGAUGCAAAAUUUUAUCUCUAUUCUAUAGACCCAAGCCCAACCCGAAAAUGGAUCUAAAAUUCUGCUCAAACCCAAUGCAAAAUAAAAAUGUUAAACCCAGGCUCAACCCGGCCUGUCCGUAUUAAUUUUUUAUAUAAAAAUAAAUUUAAAAAUAUAAUACAUCAAAUACACUAAAAAUAUUAAAAUAAUUGUUUCCCAAUAAAUUGAAAAUACAUUAAACAAUCUUUAUACUUAAAUAACACUAAGAUAAUUGUAACUUAACAAGCAAACGCUUCUAAAAUAGUAACAAAAUUAGUAAUAAAACAAGAGUUAUACAGUAUCUAAAAAAUAACAAUAAAAUAGUAACAAUAUAAUAGCAAAAAGUAAUAAAACAACAGCAAAACAGUUGCUUCGGGCCUAGACCGAAUCAAAAAAUCUUACCUAAGGUCUGACCUAUUUAAAAAAUGAGUCUUAUUUUUUAUUUAAAUUUAUUUUUUAAAUUUAUAUUUUUACUCAAACUCUCUCACUUUCCGGAAGAAAGUGUAUCCUAAAUGCAUAAUAGUUUAUAAAAUAAAAAGUUGGGCAAUAUGGACAGCUCUUCUGACCAGUUCAGUUUUUAACUGUAAAUUAUUGUCUUUCUAUAACUUUAAAUCGACCCGGUAAUACAAUAUAACUGCAAUUUUUCUUUGAUGCAAUAUGGUGAGGGCCUUUUUGAGAGAUUGAAUUUUGUGCAAGUUUUGCUGGUGAGCUGUCCAUUGAAUUUAGAUGCUUUCGAUAUUAGUAGGUGUGUUUAUGAGUUGAGUCGGGUUGGGUCCAAUUCGAGUUGAGCUUAAGUAUGAUAUUAACUUAUUUUAUAUUUGUUCAAGUUUGGCUCGACUCGAAAUAUAGACCUAAAAUUUUGUCUAAAUCCGCUCAUAUUUGUAAAAAAUCAACUCAAACUCAUUUUAGGCCCGCUCAUAUUUUUUAAAAAUUAUUUAUUUUAUUUUAAUAUUUAACAAAUUUAUAAAAAAAAUUAUUUAUUAAAAUUUUUUAUAUAUACAUUAUAGUAGUAUUAUAUAUUUAUUAUUGGUUUAUUUUUUUAAUAUAUUUUAAAUUACAUAAUAUAUAAAAAUAGCAUAAAAUAAAAUAUUAUAAAUUUAAAAAUAAGUCGGGCCCGGCAGGCCUUGAAGGUUCGAACUUGAGUUUAACUCAUAUUUUAAAUUGACCUAAUUUUGUAAGACCAACUGCUAAAGUAAGAAACUAAAACAUGUAUGAUAUCAAAUACUAGCCAUCUUCUUCCAAAUGACGCGAUACAUGUAUUCUGUAUAUCAGUCCGGAGAUAAUUAGAUACGUACUUGUAUUUUGAUAUCAAAUAGUUAAUAGCCAAAUAAGAAUCUCUUUAAACUUGUAAAAAGAGCUUCAAAACACCAACCAAAAUAGCUAUCACGUUGUCCCAAACUGCAUUCAGUUGAAUCCACUGCAACCAGAAGUUAGCUUGCCAUUUACUCACCACUACAGUUUACAACUAACAUUUGCAUAGAGCCAAAUUUUGCAUGGCUUAAUCUUACAAACAAGUAUAUUCAGUUGUUGUUAGGAAUAACCGGAUUAUUACCUCAAGAAGUAGUAGGCGACCUUCUAUUAGUUCUGGAAUGUGUCUCCAAACCUGCCCUUCAAAAGUUACUACUCUUACAUUUGCAUUGACAGUAAUAUACCACGUGAAAAACAAAAUCCUGAUUUAAUUGCGAAAGCAUGCAUUCUUUGAGAUUAUUUUUCAUAAAAUAUUUUUUUAACUUUAUAUAUGAUUUCAUUAACAAUAUAUAUAUAUAUCGUUUAUAAAAUUAAAGACCUUAUGGUUUUUGGGCCAAUUUUUAAACGGGCUUAAAAAAAAAGUUCAAUGAAAAAAAAGUAGAAAAAUAAAAUAAAUGUGUUUAAAACUCAUUCUCUUUCCAUUUUGUUCCUUUAUCAUAUCCUUCCACCAAUCAAAUUCUAUUGUUUCAUCCCCUUCCACCAAUCAAACUCCCCAUCUUCCUUAAUUUAUUUUCUUUUUCCUACUUCCACCUUUUUCACAACUCCAUUGCCACCCUGAAAAGUGGCUGUAGUCAUUAAUUUUCUUCACCACACAGCCGAAGUGUCAAGAAGACCAAGUCCAAAUUACACAUCUUACCUGUGAAAUUUCCUAGUAGAGUAUAAUUCAAUUAUUAAAAGCGCUAUUACCUUGUUGUAGACUUUGUUAACCAUCAUAGUGCUUUUCGCCUGGAUGUUUACCAUCGAGUCACGUGGGGGGGGGGUGAGGAGAGACAAAAAAGACAUGAAAAAAUUCCAUCGAGCCGUUGAUUGUUUUAAGUUUUGAUUUAUAUGGACCCUACGUAGUUAAAAUGGCUUUGGGAGGAAGGAGAGACCAUAAAAAUGGCAGCUCGGUUUGCAAAUUCAGCAGAGCCCUGAGAGUGAGAGGGAAGUCCAUUUUCACACUGCUUAACCAAGCUCGAGCUUAAAAAAUUAUGCUCACUUGAACUCAAUCAAAUGCCAAACUCCAAGUUUAGAAUGAACUCGAGUUUGUCUUUCUUCAACUAGUUUAUCUCCACUCAGAAAAUUUUAACUUGGUUAAUAUAAUAUCCAAAAUUGCAAUAUGCUAACAAUUAUACAUUAUAGCAUAUACGAGGUACCCAAAGUUUCCUAAGACUAAGAUGAAGGAUCAAAAUUUUAAUCACUAAAACCAAAAUGUCCUACAUUACUGCUUAGAUGAAGGAUAUACCAUCCAUUUAAGCAGCCUCCCCAUUCUUUAUAUAUUCACACUUACGAAUCCAACUCCAUGCACCAUGGCUGAUAACCAAAUCAAAUAAAAGUCCCAUCCGAAGGUAUAUCUGCCAGCAAAUUAAAAGAUCAGUUGAAGCAAAACCGGAAAAAGAAAACAAAUAACACUUGUCAAUCAUUUCAGAGAUAGGGGACAAGGUGUAGCUUCCUACCAUUGUUGGUUCUUCCGAAAUUCUGUAAGGACUGGAUAUAUAUUCUCAAAGGCUGUGUAUGUUUCAUCUCUAACCUGAGUCACUCCAACAAAGAGAAAUUAGUAAUUAUGUCGGACAUAGAAUGUGGAAUUGAUGAACAGUCUGAAAGCAAUCACCUUGGCUCCAGUGAUCACAAUCUUCCCUGACACGAAAAUGAGAAGCACAAUCUUCGGUUGUUUCAUACGAUAGAUGAGGCCUGGAAAGAGUUCAGGUUCAUACUGUAUUUAAACAACAUCAAAGAUAAGUCACAGUCGUUAAACCAAACAAGCAAAAUCUGGACAUCAAAUAUGUAACGGACGCAACUAAUUAUCUCAACCUCAUCCAAAACAGAAUCAAAUCCAAGAAUACAUAGCAUAUUAUAAGACCAAACUUAUUUUUAUGUUUCAAGGCUGUUUACUAGCUAAAUGAAAACUCAGUCUCAAGUUCAUUACAAAUGAUGUUUCAAAUUUCAAUAUCAUUGGACUGAGAUCUUUGACCUCAAUCCCUUGAGCUUAACACCCUUAAGGGCCAGCAAGUCACAAAGAAAAGGCUCAUUUUGUACGUCCAUACAAAUCAUAGGAAAGAGCUCAGACAGCCAGCUAGUCAUACUGGGAAAGGAAACAUGUCCAAUAUUCUUAAAUAACAGCUAAACAAAAAAUGAACAACGAACACCACUUACACUUGAAAAGGCACCAUGGGAGUAUGCAAGACCUUCAAGUCUGAUGGGAAAUUUGACAUCACAGGACCCAACAAUGUUCUGAAUUUUGAAGUCCUGCCGAUCACAACAAAAAGGUUAAAAAUGAGUAGGGUAAAACAUCAUCGAAGGAAGAGAUAUUAGUCUAUAUACAUGGAAUUUUAUGAGCAUGGUUUGUAUAAGAGAAAAAGGAAUUAUGUAAGUACCUUAAACUUAGCAGGAAAACCAAGCUUUUGGAUAAUUCUGGCAUACUAAAAGCACAAAAAUAAUGUCAGCUAUAGCUUUCAUCUUUGCAUCCAACUAUCCUAAUGAUAGAAUAUAUUUACACAUAUAAUCACACAACAAAUUCACAUGAAACAUAGUUCACAAACGCAUUUGAAGGAAAAAGCAUCUCAAAGAAAAAUAUUUACCUUCCUUGCAGCCAGUUUAGAUUGCUGUUCACUUUUAGCACCAGUGCAAACCUGAAAAAGCAAGAAAAUUUGUUUUAGUAAAUAACUAAAUCAAUAAUUAAACAAAGAUAACAUGCUUGGGCUCAAGCAAUUGAUGUAAGCACUAGUUAUUUACUUAUGGAUUUCAAUACUUAAAACAAUAAAAUAAGUGCAAUUUUAAUUCCAAUGGAAGUACCAUCUUUCCAGAGGCAAAAAUCAAAGCUGUAGUUUUUGGCUCCCUGAUUCUCAUAAUGACAGCAGCAAAACGCUGUAGGUUGUUUUACAAAUAAAAAGGUUAGCAUCCAAAUAUAUUAGCAGCUGAUAGAGAAGCUGCACAAACUAAGAAAGCUAGAAUUUAACCAUCCCCUGCAUACCUUCGGAUUAUAUUCUGCAUUUCGAGCUUGAAGUGCAAUUUGCUUAAGAUCCAACUUGCAAUCUAAGUUCACAGUUGAUACAAUGUUCCUUGAAACACAGUAAGACUAAUUCUAAGAUUUCCAAAUAUCAACUGUGGUCAAACCCAAUCCAUAAAGGAAUCAGAGCACAAUUUAAUAGAAGAAAUUGGGAAAAAAAAAAAAACUUUCCAUUUUUUUGGUUAAAAGUUCGAUACAGAUCCACACCUUGUUAGUUGCUGAAUCAUUAAAACCUUACAACCAUAGAAAGGAUAUAUGCUCGGAUGCUGAACUUCAAUAAACCAUUCAAUCUGAAUUGUUAAUAAAGAGAUUUUACUGAAUGCAACAGUUUCCUACAUCUGUUAAGAUCAGUUAAUGACGAGUAACCAAGCCAAAAACAAGUCAAGCCCCGUGCAAUUUAUGUGUUUGGCUGGUUUAACUAAGAACAAGACUCAAGUUUUAUACAUGAUUAAACCAGAUGAGCUUGAUUUCAUUUGUAGGCUAGUGGGCUAAGCCUGCACAAUCGUAUUUGAUGUAAUUUAUUUAUCAUUCAUAUCAAAAUUAAUCCAAAGAAAUCUACGAAACUCUUUUAUUAUAUCAAACGCAUCAAAUGAAACAUAACACAAUGUUACUCCAAUUAUAUCGAAUUAAAGCUUUCUACUAUUACAUUACUCCAAUGAUAUUCUCAACAGAAGCAUACUUUAAGCCAUAGACAACACAAGCUGACAUAUCAUGGCCCCUAAAUUCACCAUUUCUCUUCCCAAAAUACAACCAAAACCCAUCUCAAAACUCCCUCUCAUCAUUUCAAAGAAAAUUUUGAUACACACACACACACACAUACACACACACACACAUAAUAUAUUUGCUCCAAAAAGAUUUCAUUUUCAAUGAUUUAAUUGACUACAGGUCUGCAAUACAAGAUAUCAUCCACAAACUCUGGUCAGCCAAAUAACAUCCCAUUCAAGUUAGAAAUUCACCAAAACCUCAAACACCCAUAUCCCAAAAGCACUCCCCCCCCCCCCAACGAUUUAAUUGAGAACACAUCUCCAUUACACCUAAAAGAUCAUCCCAUCGUUCAACCAAAUCUUACGCAUACAUAUAAAUUUAUUGCACAAAGAAAACGUAUACAUUUCAGAAUACAAAGACGAGAGGCAAAAAGGAGACUUACUGAAGAGUGGGAACAAUGCCAGAUGGGUGCUUGGAAAGAUCCACUGGUUGGCUACCUUCCAAGCCACCUUGUUCUGCCAUCGCUUUUUUGUUCCUCACCCAAAAAAAAUCCUCCAAAAAGAUUAUGGGCUUCCUCUUAGAAACACCGAGGGAAAAAAGCAGAUCGAAAUUCACACAAGUCUAAUAAAAUUGAACCCUAUAACAAAAUUUGAAGUUUUCAAAGGGUAAACACGAAACUUGGGAGGAAAUGAAUGAAAUAACAAAAAACAAAAACAGAUCACAGUUUGAUACAAAUCUGAACAAAUUCAUUAUUUUUCAUUAAAAAAUUAUGAAAUUACAAACAAUAAAGCUACAAAAUGGAGGGAAAUUUGAGAGAAGAAAGAGAGAAAUGUUUGAAAAGAGGUGUUUAUAUAGGUUUUUAUUUGAAUUCUUAUAUAUAAGAGAGAAAUUACUGAAAGGAUCUGGUUCGAAAAUGAGAUUUGUGAGAGAUCGGCUCAUAACAGAUAGAGAUGCGGGUGUUUCGAGGGACAUAUGCACCCUAAGAUUAUUCUAUUUAUAAACGUUGACUCUUUUAACCGGUCAAGUUGUGGAAGUUACCUGUUUUUGCCGGUCAUGUUUAGAGGUGUCCAUGGGCCGGGGGGCCUAGCCCAGCCCGACGGCGGGCCCUCCGGCCCGUCUGAAAUAUGGGAGGAUUUGAGUAAAAAUAUAGGCCCGAAACAUGGGUUUGGGCAAAAAAAUGAGGCCUGUUUAGAAAACGGGCCGGGCCUCGGGCACCACUUUUUUUGCUCGAGCCCGGCUCGGCCCGACCCAAAUAUAUAAUAAAUAUAUAUUUUUAGUUUUUUUAAUUUUAAAAUAUUUUUAAAAUAAUUUUUUAUUUUUAUUUUUAAAAUAUUUUUUGGUGUUUAUUAAAAAAUGGGUCGGGUCGGGCCGGGCUUAGAUUUUUUCCCGGGCCAGGCCUGGACAAAAUUUCAGGCCCAUAUUUCGGGCCAGGCUAGGCCCGGGCCUAGGACGCCGGCCAAAAUUUUUUUUGGGCCCAGCCCGGCCCAUGGACACCUCUAGUCAUGUUGGGAGGAAGAGGUGACUUGUCCUUCCCCUCCUAAGCAAAUGAGAAUUUGUGAUUAAAGUACUCUCAAAUCCACUAAUUGUUUCAAUAUCAACUUUGUAAAUUGAAUUAAAGCUGAAUCAAUUUUUAAUAUUUGUUUUACAUAUUUAAAUUAUUUUAUAUUUAUAUUUACAUAAAAUAUGAAAUUAUCAAUAACUUAUAUUAUAUAUAUUAGACAAUCAUAUUAGACCUUUCACUAAAGUAAUUAAUCAUUGCAGAACUUUUUAACGCACAAUCUCUUCAUGGCAUCGUAAAAAAAAACUCAGUCUUAUAACCUUACUUAAACAUCAUACUCAUUAGGCUUAACAAUGCGCAAAAAAAUAUAUUGAGAAUAACCUCUAACAACAUCUAUCAAUCUAUCACAUCCAAUAGACGUUUUGUUUAAUUUCUUCAAGUCAACUCUAACAAUGUCCUAAACUGAUCUAGGGUAACACUCGCCACUUUAUCAUUGCACCUGAAGGAAAGGGAACACAAUGGCUGGGACCCAUGCUCUACCUCAAUCCCCCAUAAACACCCUUCAUCAUUGGGGCAAAAGUAAUUGUACCCUCAUUCUUCUCAUUUAAUUCUAAGAUAACAUUAAAAUCUUUAGCCAAGAUCCAAGGCUUAGAGACUGCCUUAGCAAGGCAACCCAACAACUUCUCGAGUACUUUUCAAUUCAAACAAUUGGGACUACCAUAAACGAUGGGAAGGAAAAUUCCCUUAUUCAAACCAAUGGAAUGUAUCUUUAGAUGAAUAAACUGAGGGUGGUUAAUAAGAAUGAUGACAAAGACAAAAUUAUUCCAAAUAAUCUAAAUGCCCCUAGAAAACCUAAAAAAACUUCUAUUCUGUGGGAGAAGCUAUAAUGUAGUUUCUUUAUAACAUUGCACGUUACCAAACCAUUGACUCUCGUGUAUAUUAAAUCAACUAAGCUCAUCUUAAAUUCCUUGAAAUAUUCUCUAAAGAUUCACAGAAAUGUACUUUUACUAGAACAUUGAUAAUUCCAAAAUAAUCCCGAAAAAUUCAUCAAAUAAAAAAGACAAAAGAACUCUAACCAGUGAUCACAUGCGCGCUUGUUAGAAACAAACAAUUUUUUAAAACGAUUUAAAAGUGUGGUUUUAACUGCAAACGUAUAGUGUUAGUUGUAUAUUUGUAGUGUUAAUGGAACACCAGAGUAUUCUAAGGAUCAAACCCAAUGAAUUUCCAAAUUGAUAAAUGUGUUAACAAAGUUAAUUACAAGUUAAAAAAUUAUUAAUCUAGUAGAAUCGAAAAUUAUUAAUGCAAAUUCAAAGAAAAAUACAAAAUGGAAGAUCGAACAACUAAACCAAUGAUAGAUGGAUAAGUGUCAAAUUGAACCCUUUGAGAUAUCAAUCCCAAUAAACUCAAUUAACAGUUCUAAUCAGCCCUUCUAGAAAUGAUCAUUGGCAAAUUGAAGGAUGAAGAAUGAAUUCUCACAACUCCUUGAAGAAAAUCAAGACAAAAAUUACUUCUAAAAAUCACAAGAAAGAAAUCUUGCGCAAAGAAACAAACUCUCAGAAUUGAAAACUUUAUUAAUGAAAACAAUUUGUGGCAUUAAUGAACAAUGAAGAAGCCUUUAUAUAGGCUAGCUAAGUACAUUCAAAUAAAACUCUAAAGUAUACUGAAACUCUAAUUAAUCUAAAUAAAAAGUAGUUUUAAAUUAAACUUUCUUAUUUAACUAAGAAAUAUAAAACUCCUAAACAACUUAAAAUACUUAAACAAUAUCUGAAAUUUGUAAUAAAUAAAUAAUAAAAUAACAAAAGCUAAUAAAUACAAUAUUGGGCUCAUAUAUAAUAAAAAAUUAAGCUUAAAAAUCGAACCCAAUAUGAUUUAAACUCAAAUUAAAAGCCCGAAACAUGAAAUUAAGUGAUUUAAAGUGCAUUGCAAAGAUAAGAAACAGAUAUUCGAUUGAUAUGAAGACAUAUUGACCCAAAAAUACCUGUAUUCCUUCUAAAAAUGCACCGCAACUUGAUUGAUUAUAACACGGUUAGAUGUGUGGGCUUGAUUAAGGUCCUUGAAGUGUAACACCUAAGCUUAUUAACAUAUUUCACAUGAGCUUGUCCUCAUUCAUUGAGAUUUUAAGUCCACAAAUAAAAUUGGUCCCUUCUAAUUCAUCUUCACUUCGUAUUAAACUCCAAAGUUCAUCGUCUUAAAGCUUUAGCUCUUUUUCUCAAAAUUUCUUUGUGACAAAGUCUUGAAUGAAUAUGUUGAGUUUUGACUUAAACUUAUUAGAUUUGGAUCUCGUGAUUAGGCCUUGAGGUAAACUAAGAUCAUCUCCCUCAUGGACUUUGAAUUGAAUUGGGCCGCUCGUAUCAUUCUUUUAUGGUAAAGUCAUCAUGAUUUUAACGGAAUUAGAGUUGGAUUAAGAAGAUUAUUUCAUUGGAAAUAUAUUGAGAUGUUUAUUUUGGAAAAUAGAAAAACAUAUAUCAGGUUGAAUUGAAUUAUAAAGUACUGAGUUAAAAGUUCGUGAAAUACUUGUAAUUGGACCCAAUAUGGGAGAGGCCCAAAAGCCUCUCGUGUUAAUUAAAGGGAUAGCAAACCCUAGUAUUAUUAAUUAGAGUUAUUGCCCUUUAUACUUCUAGAUAGACUAGGACUUCAUUUUUCUAGUUGAAAUAAACUUCUACAAUUCAACAAAAGUUAUGUGUAACACCCCUAACCUAUAUCCGUCGCCGGAAUAGGGUUACGGAGCAUUACCGGAGUUUACAUAUCAAAUAGACAGACAUUUCACAUCAUUUAACAUUAAUGUCAGAAACCAAUCAAAAAUCAAAUAUAUUGUUCCUUAUGCGAGCCCUCGGGGCCCAAAAUACAUAUUAGAAACAAGUCGGGACUAAAUCGGGUAAUCGAAGAAUUUUUCAGAAAUCAUUAAAAAUUUUCAAAGGUGUAAGGGACACACGCCCGUGUGGCCAGGCCGUGUGACUCACAUGGUCAAUAGACACGCCCGUGUCUUAGGCCAUGUGGGUAUUCGAAAUAAGGGCACAUAGCCGUGUC
rnacentral:lncRNA from 1 species